UUUGUUUUGAUCUGCUUGAAGAAUAUAUUGUACAACUCACUUGAUUGAUACUAUAAUUCUCUUUUAUGUAAUAUUUUAACGUGUGGGCCCUUAUUCUUUCGACAUUUUUGCAAAAUAUGUCUCAUUGAACAGUUCUAGGAAAGUAAAUCUGUGGCAUUCGUAGACCAAUUCUCCCGUUUGUAUCAUAACUUCUAAUGUAAGCAAGUACAUGUAUUUGAUUUUCUCUGUUGUGCUUAUAUGCAUUAGCUAUUUUCAACUUUGAACCCCAAUAUCUAUAGAACACAAUUAUUAUUAUUGUUCCUAUUAUUUACUCAUCUUUAGCUACGAGUUUUUAAACUUAUUUUAGAUACAUCAUGGAGCUUAAAAAUUAUCUUAUUUUGAUGUGAUGUGUUUGAUAUUUUAGGUUUAUAAUAUACUUACCAAUCUUAUCUUAAAUUUUCCCGUGCAUCCUGUUUAACGUCGUGUAUGAAGAAAUAUUCCGAAAUGUGUAAUACCCCUAUUAUGCAUUUUGUUGUAACAUUCUUGGUUGACGAUAUGAUAUUUCACCAAACAAUAAUUUUAUGACUCUGAUCAUUGUUCUUUACGUAGUUUAUUUUAAGUUCCAUUCCAAAAUAUUAUGUUUUACUUAGUAUCAAAAUAUUUCAGCUCAUAAGACCCGUGCGGCGCACGGGUCGGAGAUCUAGUAUGUUUUUAAAGAGUAACAAUAUAUUAAAAGAGCUUAAUACCUAAUUGCAAGUUAAAGGAUAUAAGAUUAAUAAGUAUAAUAAGGGAAUGAAUAAUUUUGAAAGGGAGAAGAGCACUUUUUUUGAUAUAUUUUGUAUCCACUCACUUUUGUGGAUGACAUUGGCCCUACAUUUAAAUGAACCCCUCCAAACUUAAGAAAGUUACUAUCAUUGUUACGAAUCACGAUAGAGAUAGUCUAUUUUUUUAAAUGAUAAACAUUAAUAUGUUAAUUGUUAGUUAUGUUAGUUUUUUCUUUUUGUCAGGACUUGAAUCAUAAAUCUUUAACUUUAACUCAAACCGGUUGAAUUACCCAACCCCCGAGAAAUUUUAAAUAUUAAUCAUAGUAGUGUGAGCAAUAAAGUAUAUGAUUAGCCAUAGCCUAAAAUUUGUCACAUUCACACAAUUAACACAUUCAUGAUCGUUGAUAGAGACCGGUCCAUAUUUUAAGCUAAAUUAAAAAAAAAAAAUAUAUGUAUGAAAUUUCGAUUGUAUGAUCUCGAGAAAAUCAAAAUAUGUUUGAAAUUUAGAUUGUUCGAUUAACUAUCAAAUAUAUAGAUAAUUAAAAAAAUAAGCGUGGUUUAAUUAAGAAAUUAGAAGCAAUCAUAUUCCCCCAAACUGUAUUGAGGUUGUUCAUUGCAUUAAUAUUCAGCAUAUUCUCUAAAUUACAGGUAGAAUAGCAAAAACCUUCUUAAUGAAAAGUAAAUAAAUUCCAAAAUAAAAGGAAAAGAAUAUACUGGUAAAGAGCAACCGUGGAAGUAUCACAGAGGGAGAAUAAGUUGGCAUAACCAUUUUCUUAACUUUGUGUUAAACUAUAAAAAGUUAUGCUCCACUUAGCAGAAGUUGCAUGAAGUUAAUCCAUUUUUUUAUUUUGUGAGUUCCCAAUCAUCCCUGGCCUCACUACCCUAUUUUUGUGUAAAUAAUUGUUUUGUUAUCGUAAAGAAAUUCUUAGUGGGAAUUUCCUUUUUAGGAUUAUUCAGUUUUUGCUUACUACACUAUAGCUUCCUUUACUUUUUCCUAAAAUCCCUUCCGUACCUCCACCCCACAAUCCACAAAAGCACACAUUUGGCCCUAAUUGUCCGAAUAUUUUAUUAAUUAUUUUAUUUAAUUAUAUUAGCUGUUUAUUAAUUAAGAGUUUUAAUUGAUUUGUGAUUAUAUUAUUAUUAAAAAAAAUUGAUUUGUGAUCAUAUUAAGUAAUUAGGCUAAUUAAAAUUCUAUUUGUUAAUCAAUUUUUUUGGUAGAUAUGACAAAUACCAUUGAAAUUCACAAACAUAUAAGUAGAGGAGCCGAUGUUUGAACUCUGAUCACAACGUCUGACCUAACAAUUUCAACAUUUUUACCAGUUAAGUUAAGAUUUAUGCGCGGUUAAUUAAUUGAAAUGAGUUCAAAUAUGAGUGAAUGUGAGUAUGCCCCAUUUUGUAGAAAUGAGAAUCCUAAUUAACCAUUACACUAUAUGUAGGCUAUGAUCUCCAAUAUAUUAUAUCGAACAUAUUGCAUAUUGCCAAUUCUCUCCAUUUGAAGGGUGUCUAAGACAAAAAAUAAGUACAUGUUAAGGAAGAAUCACAAGUCAACAACUUCUUGUCUCUCGUUUUCUAUGUUUCAUGAGUAUUAGAGAGGCUACAAUCAGUUCAUCCAUCGUAGUAUUCCUAAUAUCUUUAACAAACCAACAUGUCGUAGAUCCUAAAGUUAUCAUGAUUUUAUGUUUGUUCGGUUCUUGAUGUUUAUAACAUGCUUGUUUUACUAUUAAUUUUCCACAAUAUAGUAAGUAGAAAACAUACCUUUAAUGAUUAAUUAUUGAAUAAGUUCUAACAAUUACUUUAUAACUUCACCACAAACUUUCUCCGGACAUAAAGAGAUUUGUAUCAUCUCAUUUUAGCACUUUGAUCAGGUUAAUUAUUGAUAAGAUUAAACUUUUUUUGCAGUUUUUUAUUUGUAUUGCUUUUGUAUAAACUUGAAAACAUAUUGUAACGUGACAAGUUUCAGUCUUUUAAAACUUUUAUUAUUUGUACCCAAAAAAGGUGAAAGAGAAUAAGUGGGAAAAGAAAGAAGAAGAAGCAAGAAGUGCGCACUGAUCUAGCUGGUGUUGGUCUAGGAACUUAAUUAAGUGGUAAUUGGUUGAAAAUAAAUCAUUGUUUAAAGAGGUUAAUUUAAAGAAGAUGCCACCUUUUAGGCCUCUUAUAUUGCUAGGGGAAUCGUGGCCUCUAUCAAUGAACACAAUAACAUUGGUACGCAACUCAUUAUAUUACUCUUUUCUAUACUUUCUUUUCCGGUAGAUGUAGAAUAAAACGUUACGUGGGUUACGUUCAUUGGGCAGUCUCAUGUCAUUGUGGAGCUCAUAAUAUAUAUAGGUUUAUGGAGUAUAUGAUGGAAUAAUGUUAGAUUUUAGUGUAAGUUGUUAGUCUAUUUUCCCAAAAAGAAAUGAUAAAGUUUAUAGUCUCACAUUAAUCAUGAAUGAGUUAAAUUAAUAUUGAAUAUAUAAGAGAGACAAUUAAUUUUAAAUGGGAAUUAGAAUGUCAUUUUGUUGUUUGGGUCGGAAAGUAAACCCUACCCUCCUCGUUCAAAACCUCACCUAAAAUUAAACUUUUGAAGAGAGGUAAUUUCGUCGAUAAAAACAAAAGGAUGAUUUUCAAGAGCGGUGAAAAAAAAGAAACUCUCUAAACAUUAUGGGUUCCAAAACCACAAAAAAGUUAAAGGUUUUAUUUUAGGGCAUAUAUGUCUUGUAUAAAAUUGCACCACUAACCAUGAAGUAAAGUUGCAAUCAAUAUGUAAAGUUUCUUGAAUGAAUUAUAGUGAGGACAAAACUUGUCAUCACAAAAUAAACAAAGAUUUUCAUACACCCACUUCUAUAUUUUAGAUUGAAAUGAAAUCAUUCGGCUAUAGAAAUUAUUGGAGUUCAAUAUUCUAUUUUAUAUUUCGUUCUAUCUCCUUAAUGAUCAAUCAUGUUUCUUGAAUACUCGAAAACUUUAUGUUAUUUAAUAUUUUAUUAGAACAAAGUGGUCAUAAAAUCUAGCCUGGAGAAUUUGUUGAAUGUGCUCAUGGCGUAAUCACACUGCUAAGAACAGUAUAGUGAGUACUUAUCCAAUUGAAUGGGGUUGGUGGGUCCUUCAUUUGUUCGUUUGUCUGAAUAAUUGGACUUGCACAAAAUUGUUAAAUAUGCAUUAUUAUAUUAUAUAUGCUAUUACUGUUUAUUUUUUCAUAGCAACUAGCACAAUUGCACGAACACUCUUUUUUUUUUUUUUACACAAUAAACGCUCUUUUAUUUUCCAUCCAUUUUGGAAAUUCUUUCUUGGCAUUUCAUUUGGAAAGCAUGUCUAAUCUUUUCAUCUUAGUUUCCUUUUUUUUUUUUUUUUGGCUUAAUUGCACUUUUCCCCUAUCUUUUGUUAAUUGUGCGAUUUUGCACCCCCUCUUUUUUUUGAGCGAUUUUGCACCCUAUCUUUUGCAAACUGUGUUUUGUUCAAAAUUAUCAUUAAAAGAGGGGAAAAGGGGCAAAAGAUAGGGUGCAAAAUCGCUCAAAAAAUAUAAGUGAGGGUGCAAAAUCGUACAAUUAGCAAAAAGAUAAGGGACAAAAGUGCAAUUGAACACAAAGAUGAGGUGCAAAAUCAGAAAAGGGGCAAAAAGAUGGGGUGCAAAAUCACUCAAAAAAAAAAAAGAGGAGAUGCAAAAUCGUACAAUUGACUUGGCUUUUUUGUUUCUUUUGCAAUUUUUUUAUUCCAUUUGAAUUUUUUUAUUAAAAACUUAAUUGAUUUUUUUAUUUAUUUCUUUUCAUCUUCAUCUUCUUCUUCACUCUCUCUUUUCAAUCUCCUUCUACCAUCUUUUUUCCAGCAACACAACAUCACACAACACAACAUCAACACAACAAUCUCUUCUUCUCUUCUUUCCUGGUUGUUCCAAUCCAUCCCCUUCUCAUCAAUUUUCAAUUUUUGGAUCAAUCAUCAACAACACAACAACAACGCAUCAACAACACAAUAACAACAACACAAAAUUCUUCUUUAACCCAAUUCCAAAAGAGAAAAACAAAAUCAAAUGGAAUUUAAAUCGGAAACAACAACUUCAACGUAAAACAACAACAACUUCUUUAAAAACAAAUCAUCAAAUCAAAAAUCAACCCAGAUUGCUUCCUCUUCCAAUAAAAAAUCAAACCCAAGUGGUUAAAAAUCAAUUCCAUGUAUGAAGAAUCAAAAACCCAGAUUCAAAAAUCCUCUCUUUCAAAAUUCGAAAAUUCUCUCUUUCAAUUUCUUGAUUGUGUUCUUGUGUUGCUGUUUCUUGAUUGGAGGGAUGGAGGGUAUGAUUUGGUGAAAAGAAAUAGAGAGAAGAGAAAAGAGAAAAGAGAAGAGAAGGAAGAAGAAAAGGAAUAACAAAAAGAGAGAAGGUGGGAGAGAAUAGAAGGAAGAAGAGAAUAGAGAAGAGAAUGAUGAAGAUAAUAGAAGGAAGAAGAAAAGAAAGAAGAUAAACAGAGAAGGUGGGAGGGAAGAGAAGGAAGAAGAAAAGGAAGAAGAGAGAAGGGGAUUUACGUUGGAGAAGAAGAGAGAAAAAGAAAUGGGAUUUUUUUUUUUUUAAUUUACCAUUAAGGGUAUUUUAUCUUUUUAACAUAAUUUUAAAAAUAAAAAAUAAAAAAUUAUGACGUGUUAGGGCCAUUUUACCCAUUACUACAGAGUCAGCGUGCCACAUCAGCUUAUUAAUCCAGUCAGAUGACAUUAAAUUAAAGAAUCUUCAUUUUACAAAGGGGAAUCUUCAAGUUUUUUUUUAUAGGAAAUAUACCAAAAGACCCCCAAAUAGCAGGGGUAAAAGUCUAUUAACCCAUUUGUUUUUAUCUCAUUCUCAUCAUGCAUUAAUUUUCGUUAGUGCAUGCAUUAAUAUUCGUUAGUGCGCUCACACCUUGUUUUUUUCCUUCACUUUAAAACCAAAACAAACCAAACUCAUUUUUUUCUUGAACUCAAACAUCAUGGUACACAACAGGUCUCUUGUCUAUGACAACAUGGAUAAUGCUUGCUUUCCUUCUCCACACCUUGAUGCUUUUCCAGCUGGUCUACGAGUACUCGUUGUUGAUGAUGAUCUAACUUGCCUCAGAAUCCUUGAAAAAAUGCUCAAAAAAUGCUUUUACCGAGGUUUCUUUCUUUCAUUCAUAUUCACUCUGCUUCUUCUUCCAUGUGCUAAAAGUGGUAUAUGUGUGUAAUUGAAUUAAUAAUCUCAACAAAUGCCAAUAAGUUCAGUAGAAUUCAACUUUAAGAAAACAAGCAUUUGGCCAAUCCACAUUUUUGUUGGCUUCUAAUUUCCAAUUCCUUUUUUUUUUCAAAGAAAAAAAAGAAUCUUGUUACUUUUUCAUUUAAGAUAAUUUUGCAGUAUCCAAUAAUUCUAGCUAGGAUGAGAUGAUAGUACUGGUCUCUUUUAACUUAAUUAACCAAGGUGUUUAAAUUGACACUCAUAACAACAUUAAAAGGUAUUGAGGAAGAGUUUUGUGCCUCAUGUGUCUUACUUGGUUCGAGAUAUUAGUCUUAAUAGUCUUAUAUUCAUCUUCAUCUUCUAACACUUAUCUAUCUUGUGCUCUCAGUGACCACAUGUUGCUUAGCAAUAGAGGCUCUUAAGAAGCUCCGCGAAAGUAAAGGUACAUAUGACAUAGUGAUCAGCGAUGUAAACAUGCCUGACAUGGAUGGUUUCAAACUUCUUGAACAUGUUGGACUUGAGAUGGAUCUUCCUGUCAUUAGUACGUUCUUUUAUUCAUAACUUUUUUUUCCUUCAAAUUAUGUGUAACAUUCCUCUCGCAGCUCUUUUUUCCGGACCAGUCAGUACCUACAAGUAACAUUCUUGGUCCGAAAAAAGAUGGACGAGGGGGUGUUACAAUAUAUAUACAUAGUAUUUUGAUUUUAUUGACUAAAAUUCCAUGAUAUUUCUAACAACACUUGAUAAUGUUAUGUAGUGAUGUCUGUUGAUGGAGAAACAAGCAGGGUGAUGAAAGGUGUUCAACAUGGAGCAUGUGAUUAUUUGCUUAAGCCUAUAAGGAUGAAAGAAGUGCGAAACAUAUGGCAACAUGUCUUAAGAAAAAGAAUACGUGAGGCAAGAGAAUUUGAAAGUCUUGAGGGAAUUCACUUAAUGAGGAAUGGAUCAGAUCACACUGAUGAUGGUAACCUGUUUGCUGUAGGAAAAGAAAUGAACUUAAUGAAGAAAAGGAAAGAUUUUGAUAGUAAACAUGAUGACCAAGUAUUCUUAGAUCAAACUUUCAUAAAGAAAGCUAGAGUAGUUUGGUCUGUGGAUCUUCAUCAGAAAUUUGUUAAAGCGGUGAAUCAGCUUGGAUUCGAUAGUAAGUUUCUUAUCAACAUUCUCUACGAAGUCAGAUUCAAAUAAAUCUGCUUAUUGCUAUGCACGCCAAUGAACGGAACUUAAAUUCCGGUCUUGUUUAUCAUAUUGUUCUUGAUAAUUUUAUGUAUGAAGUUAUGAACCAUCAUAUUUUUUGUGUAAGAGAAUGUAAUGACAAAAAUAAUUUCUUUUUGGCAGAAGUUGGUCCCAAGAAAAUUCUAGAUUUGAUGAAUGUUCCAUGGCUGACUAGAGAAAAUGUUGCUAGUCAUUUGCAGGUAUAUGAUUUAGACAUGUGAAUUGCUUAGGUGGUACUAUAUAAACAAUUCUUAGAUUUGAUGAGAUAUUUUAGUAGGAAACUUGUAUCAUCUUUUGAAUUAGUCACCGGUGAGAAUGAUAUGAAACAUGAGUAGUUAUGUAAGACAAAUGUUAGAUUAGAAAUAUAAUCAUUAGAGGGAAAAUCGGGGUUCUACAUCCUAGAGUAAAUGGAGAAGACCGACAGAAUCAUCAGUAUUGAGAGUAGACCGAAAGCAAAGGUUUAGUUUUUGAGUUUAAUACACUUUCUAGGGUCGACCGAGCCAUGUAGUUUGAAAAAUUACUUGAUUUUUGUUGUGCUGUUAACAUCUCAAUUUCUAAAGUUGAAAGUUUAUAUUAUGAGUAUUACGUCUGAUAUUUGUUUCUGUUAGGCCUAUAACUAGAAGGCUAGAAUCAUAGUAGAGGUUCAAUUUAAAUUAAGCAUCCAAUACAGGUCACAGAAAUACUGACAUAAAUGCAGACUAUCUUAUAAAAUUCAAAUUGGAUAAUUUUAUUGAGUUUGAAAACUUAAAAGGUUCCUAAUAAUAAAAUUUUGCUCUUCAGAAAUACCGGCUCUACUUGAGUAGGUUGCAAAAGAAAAAUGAUCAGAAAUCGUCCUCAGGUGGAAUAAAGCAUUCAGAUUUACCUUCAAAAGAUCCAGGAUGUUUAAGCUUUCUCAACUCUUUCAACAAGCAACAAAAGGAAGGUGCAAUCGACAGCUUUGGAUAUUCAGACGGGACAUUAAAAAUUCAAAUGGAUACUACGAGUCAUGAAAAAAGAAGAGCUUCAACUAGUGACAUUCCUAAUCCAAAGAUAAGAAAGAGUUCAGAGAUAGGUCUUAACCAAUCUCUUGAAUCUGCAGAAUCAGAAGCAAACCAUACAGUAUUUGACUCCGUCAUACCAACACAGUACUCUUGGAAUGAAGUUCCAAAAAGGCCACUCGGAGAAGAACUUAACACACUUGUACAAUUAAAGGAUAAUCUCAGCCAUUUGCCAUUAAAUGUUACACAGCAACACUUCCAAAAUGACCGAUCACUAUCAAUUAAUUCCAAUCCCUCCGGUUACAAAAGUGAUUACAUUAGACCUGUGAAUUCAACGGUGUCUUCAGUUGAUACCUUUCCUAGUCAGUCCAAAAGCGAUAUCAUUUUCACUUCAAAUUUGAGUUUAAAAACACCAAAAUUUAAUCUUGGCUGCGCUUCUGAUAUGGAAAUCUACCAAAGAAACUUACUUUUGGGUAUUGAGUCAGCUUCAACACCUUUGGACGAGGACUUAAAUUUGUUCUUGUUACAAGGUGAAUACUAUGAUAUGAACUUUGACAUGCAGAAUAUAGAGAUGUCAGAGUAUUAUGAUCCAAGGCUUAUUCCUGAAGUUCCUACCAAUUUGUAUGCUUCAGGAGAUUAUUCUUAGCAUGAUAUUUGAUUCUGUCUUGCCUUUUCAUGCAUCUUCAACGAAAGUCCAACUCCGCAAAUGAAAUAACUGCUUACUAUUAGGUAUUUUUUUUCCCUUGUUAGAUAGGAUUUCGAUAAUGAAAAACAUAUAGAAAAGGAUAUGAUGUCUGAUGAGGAAACAUUAAGCUUAUCAAUAAGCUUGUUUUCUUUCUUAAUGCUACCAACUUGGUAGUUCGAGAAGCAUUUUCGCACGUUUGUAAUUUUGUAAACCAACAAUGGUUCAUAGCAAAAUGCUUGCUGAAUCACGCAAGUAAAUUCAUCAUUGCAAAAGAAAUGUAACUAAAGACUAUUUAUAUAUAUUUUUUUGUUGGAAAAAGACUAUUUGUAUUAUGUUCAUUCUAAUCACCUUUACAUUACCAUAUGAAAGCUAACUUAGUUACUGAUUAUAUGAUUCAAUUUGUUUUAGUUUUCUCUCUUCUAUUAGCAAUUCGUUUCUUUAGUUUACAGAACUCAUGUUAGAAAUCUUGUUGUUACGAAAAGGCUGCGACACACAAAGAAUGAAGAAGAUGCACCUUAAGAACAGCAAAGAGUGCGUUUACACACUAACAUGUCGUCUCCGAUAAGUACAUAUUGGAUGCAAGUGGAAUGACCAACAAAUCCCUUCGGGAACAUUGAUGUGGAUUGCACAAACAAGCCACAUUUAUCUCUUAAUAAUUGUUUACAAAAUUUUGUUUCCUACAUUUCUCUCAUGCAUUAGAGAACAUAAUGAGGAUUUAGAGUGAGAAAAAAAUAUAUUAAACAACAUCGAUUGCUUUAAUUUAAUAAAAGUAUCUUACAUUCUCUUAUUUUUAACUUAAUUAUGCAAUUACAGAUAAAAAGUCACAAUUAUUCUUGACUAAUUUUUUUUUCCAAUACGUACGUGCAUGAAUGAGAUUGAAUUCACGAUCAUUUGCUAUUGAGUCCCUUAACUAUCACCCAAAUCAACAUGUUUUUGAGGUAGCUUCUUCCAUUAAAUUAGUUGAUUGAACGGUGGUUGUAUACUUUGAAUAGGGUAUUGACGUGUAAGCUCAUGUGGGGCGAGGGAAAUUAUAUAUCCGCAAUGUGACAAUUAAGUUAUUAUUAUAUAUAAUACUCUCUUUUUUGUUGGUCAAGAAUUAUGUAUAAUACUCUAUGCAAGCUUCUUCUUUUUGACUGGUCCUAUCUAAUAAUACUAUAUGCAUGUUUUAAAAUCAUUGUAUAUAAUAAAUAAAUCUAAUAAUAUUAUCAAUAAAAUAUAAUAAGUCUUUCAAUAACGCAGACAAGUGCUGAAUGUCACCAAGCAGAAAUCAACGUGAUUGGUUAUUUUCGAGAUUAAAUGAAAACGUUUUCCUUUUCCUCUCUAAAAUAAUAAUACUAACUCUAACACGUUGGUGAAAGGUGGGUGAUGUAAUAUACGCGUGUUCAUACUUUAAACUGGUCUUGAUCUUGUAUUAAUGUUCAUAAUUCAUACACUAUAUAAACACUUUAUGCUAUGUGUAUGGCAAUCCAUUCAAUCAAUAUACCAGUGAGCAUAAAUUGUACUAGUGAGAAUAUUAAUCAGUUGUUGAGCCAAUCAAAUACCAUAUGGAAAUUGAAUUAAUUUCUAGAGAAACCAUCAAACCUUCAUCACCAACUCCUACUCACCUCAGAAUUUAUCCACUUUCUUUCAUUGAUAACAUUUUUUUUCGUUUAUAUGUUCCAGUCAUUUUCUUUUACAAUCCAAAUGAGUGUAGUGACCAAAAUUCCAAAGUAUCACUACUUCGAAAAUCUUUAUCUCAACUUUUAUCUAAAUACUACCCUUUUGCUGGCAGAUUAAAAGAUAAAAUUACCAUUGAAUGUAAUGAUCAAGGUGUGUCAUUUUUGGUCACAAAGAUCAAAAACAAACUUUCAGAGAUUCUCAAAAACCCCACAGAUAAAAUAUUGAACCCUUUGUUUCCCGACAAAUUGCAAUGGAAAGACAUGGAUUGGAGCGAUACUUUGAUAGCUGUUCAAAUCAACUGUUUCGCAUGUGGAGGAAUGGCGAUAAGUAUUUGCAUGAGUCACAAAAUUGGUGAUGCGUCAACCAUUUUCAACUUCAUGAAUGAUUGGUCCAUCAUCAACCAAAAAUUACAAGAAGAAGAAGAAGAUAAAGGGUUAUUAGUAUUACCUUUUCCUUUACUUGAUGGAGGAGCUUCUGUUUUUCCACAAAGGGAUUUAACUAUUUUCCCAGAACUUGUGUUAACGAGAAAAAACAAUGUGGUGUGUAAAAGGUUUGUGUUUCAACCCUCAAUGAUCAAGUCCCUUAAGGCAAUGGCAACUUCUAGUUCUAUGCAUUCACCUCCAUCACGUGUACAAGCAGUAACUGCAUGGAUUUAUAAGCGUGCAGUUUCACUAAUGGGAUUAAAUUUCCAGACGGCUUUAUUUAGCAUGGGUGUAGAUCUUCGCAAAAGAAUGGUUCCUGCAUUGUCUGAAAAGUGUGUAGGAAACAUUGUUUGGUUCUCGUCUAUGGUUGCAGAUAAGAAGGAAAUGGAAUUACAUGAGUUGGUAUCCAAAAUAAAAGAAGGGUUAUCGCAGUUUGGUGACUUUAUUCCGGAAACAUUUGGAGCGAAAGAGAAUGAAAACUUGUCAUUAAUAUCUGAGUGCUUGAAACAAGUUACUGAGCCUCAUCCCGAAAAUGAAAAUUUGUUUACUUUUAGUAGCUGGUGUAGGUUUCCAAUGUAUGAAACAAAUUUUGGGUGGGGAAAUCCAACAUGGGUCACCACUUUUGGUUGUUCUUCAAGGAACAUAAUAUUUCUGAUGGAUACAAAAGAUGGAGAAGGGAUUGAAGCUAUUGUGAACAUGGAAGACAAUUACAUGACUAAGUUUGAGCAUGAAGUUGAGCUUCUUCGACAUGCCUCUUUGAAUCCAAGCAAUGUUGGACACGAUGACUAUGUGUUCUCUUCGCAAGCUCUCUCAAUUCCUUCUUAGCAUAUUUGGAUCUAUGUGUAUGAUUUGUGGGUUUGGAUUAAAGAUUCUCAAUAAGUGUUGAAAGAGACUUGUUUAUUUAAGUUAUUAAUUACAUUUUAAUCAUUUUUCUUUCUCUUUUGCACUUGUAAUCUGUUCAUUUUAGUUAAUUUACUAUUGUUUACUUUCUCUAAAUCUGGCUGUUAUAUCUACAUUAAGGGUAUUGCAAUUGUGGAUUCAGUAAUGAUUAGUGUUUAUCUUGUGAAUGAAAAAAUUGCAAUCUCUGGUAUUUUAGCCUAAAAUAUCAUGUCUCCAUAGUAAAUUUUAGUGAUGAUAUUGGUACUGUAAUAACCAUCAGCAGAUAGCUAAUCAAAUUCUUAUCAGUUGUAUUGAUUUUGGUGAUCUGGCCAGAUAUUUUGUACUGCACAGCUACACCUAGCACAACUUGUUCUUUAGCUACUAUUCGUCACCAAUAAUUGAACACUUACUUUAUUUACUUUGACUAAUGACAAAACUCUAGUUAAAAUUCUUAUUCUGGAUACGAGCCGAGUAUAAGUCACAGGUUUGUGUGUAUUUGGGAGAUUGGCAUGUUAUGCCUUGGCUGGAAUGGGGGGUGGUCAAGAUGACAGAGAAGAGAAUUUGGAGAUCAAACUUCCAUAAAGAAAGCUAGAGUAGUUUGGUAUGUGGAUUUGGUAGUAAGUUUCUUAUCAACAUUCUCUAUGAAGUGUUAUCUUGAGAGAGGUUCAAUCUAAAAUCUGAAAAAAUGUUCUAAAAUAGUCUAUAAAUUUCAUUGACUUUGAAAACUUAAUUUCAGGUUCCUAAUAAUAAAAUUUUGAUCUGCAGAAAUAUCGACUCUACUUGAGUAGGCUGCAAAACAAAAAAUAUCAGAAUUCUUCCUCAUAAAGGUGAAUUUGAAUAAAGCAUUUCAAAACACGGGACAUUAAAAUUUCUAUUAGAUAAUUGUAACAAGUGACAUUGUUGAUCCGAAGAUAAGAAAGAGUUCGCAGAUAGGUCUUAAUCAACCUUUUGAAUCUAAGAUUCAGAAGCAAACCAUACUAUUAGAACUGAUACUAGAGAUUCAAUUUCUGUUACAUUAUGUUACAACAGCAGCUCAUAUAGAGGCUUAGUGUGAAACAAGCUCCAUUAGCUAGGUUUUAGAAGUUCUCUAUUGUGAUUAUAUCUCUUGCAUUCAACUCUAGUGAUCAUGUUUCUGCUUUAUUUGUCGGAACAACUUCUCAUGAUGGUAUUAUACUCUCCUUGUAUGUUGAUGAUAUAUGAUUAUUACAAGUAAUGAUGUUGAUGGGAUUGAUGAGUUGAAAUUACAUUUAGCAAAAAUAUUUGAGAUGAAGGAUUUGGUCCCUCAUCGCUACUCUCCUACGGCUUUGUUUGCGAGUUGGGUUUUGGAGGGGAGGGGAAGAGAAGGAAAGGCUUAUGGAGUGUAAACCCUUGUUUGUGAGUUUUAAAAGAACAAGGGAAAGGUUUUGGGGGGGUUUUGAAGGGCUUCAUUUGUCCAAUUUUAAAGUUCCCCUAUAUUGGGGGUUUUAGAAGGUUAAACAUACAAAUUGACAAUUUUGCCCUCUUAAUAAUUCAAAAUUCCAAUUUUAAACAUUACUAAAAUUAUUACAAUCUUUUUUAAGAACAACUUAUUCAAAACAACUUAUAUAUACAAAACAGCUUAUUACGACCUCAUUUUCAAAAACCGCUUAUUCAAAACAACUUAUUUAAACAAAACAGCUUAUUACGACCUCAUUUUCAAAAACAGCUUAUUCAAAACAACUUAUUUAUUCAAAACAGCUUAUUACGACCUCAUUUUCAAAAACCGCUUAUUCCAAACAACUUAUUUAUACAAAACAGCUUAUUACGACCUCAUUUUCAAAAACAGCUUAUUCAAAACAACUUAUUUAUGCAAAACAGCUUAAUACAAUAUCUUUUUCAAAAACAGCUUAUUCAAAACAUCUUAUUUAUACAAAACAGCUUAUUACGACCUCAUUUUUUAAAAACCGUUUAUUCAAAACAACCUAUUUAUACAAAACAGCUUAUUACGACCUCAUUUUCAAAAAUCGCUUAUUUAAAACAACUUAUUUAUGCAAAACAGCUUAAUACGAUCUCUUUUUCAAAAACAACUUAUUCAAAACAGUUUAUUUAUAUAAAACAGCUUGUUACGACCUCAUUUUAAAAAACCGUUUAUUCAAAAAAAACUUAUUUAUACAAAACAACUUAUUACGAAAAAUCGUAUUAAGCUGUUUUGCUUAAAUAAGCUGUUUUGAAUAAGUUGUUUUUGAAAAAGAGGUCGUAAUAAGCUGUUUUGUAUAAAUAAGCUAUUUUGAAUAAGCGAUUUUAGAAAAUGAGGUCAUAUUAAGCUGUUUUGUAUAAAUAAGUUGUUUUGAAUAAGCUGUUUUUGAAAAAGAGAUCGUAUUAAGCUGUUUUGCUUAAAUAAGCUGUUUUGAAUAAGCUGUUUUUGAAAAAGAGGUCGUAAUAAGUUGUUUUGUAUAAAUAAGAUAUUUUGAAUAAGCGGUUUUAGAAAAUGAGAUCGUAUUAAGCUGUUUUGUAUAAAUAAGCUGUUUUGAAUAAGCUGAUUUUUAAAAAAAAAUAGUAAUAAUUUGUUUUUCAUAAGAUAAGCUGUUUUUUAAAAAGAGGCCGUAAUAAGUUGUUUUGUAUAAAUAAGUUGUUUUUAAAAAGUGAUUGUAAUAAGCUUUUUUUUUAUAAAUAAGUUUUUUUGAAUAAGUUUUUUUUUAAAAAAAUAGAUCGUAAUAAUUUGUUUUUCAUGAGAUGAGUUGUUUUGAAUAAAUUAGAAGUUAAAUUAUGAAGUAUAACAAUGUAUUGAUUUUAAGAGGAAAAAGGGUAAAAUAGUAAAAUUAUAACAUAAGCCCUCCAUCUCCUUACCUUAUUGGCUUUUUAGCUUCCAAACAAGGGAAAGGUUUUCCCUCCUUUCUCCCUUCCCUCCCUUUCCUUCCCUUCCCCUCCUUAGCCUUUCCUUUCCUUCCCCUCAAAACUCGCAAACAAAGCCUAAGGGUUAUCUUUUAUCCCAAUCCAAGUACAUUGCCAACAUUCUUGAGCAAAGCUCGACUCUCUGAUACUCAAGCAGUAGAUAGUCCUCUAGAGUUGAACCUGAAAUUUGUUUCCUCCGAUGGAGUUCCUCUUCCAGAUCUCAUUUUGUUAUGUGUUGCAUGUUGUUAGUCAGUUUGUUGUCUCUCCCACUAUAGUGCAUUGGGAAGUCUGCUUCGUAUUCUUCGUUAUCUUCGAGAAGCUCAGUUUCGAAGUCUUUUGUUUCCGUCAUCUUCUUCCAUGGAGUUAUGUGCUUACUUUGAUGCUGAUUGAGCUAGUGAUCCUACUAACCGUAAGUCUAUGACAAGAUUUUGUAUAUUUCUUGGAGAUUCUCUCAUAUCUUGAAAGAGUAAAAAGCAGGAGAUUGUUUCUCGCACUUCUACAGAAGCAGAGUAUUACUCUAUGACAUCAACCAUUACUAAAAUAGUUUGGUUGCAUUGGUUACUUUAUGAUAUUGGUGUCCAUUUGUCUAAACCAACUCCUAUGUAUUGUGAUAUCAAAAGUGUCGAUCAAAUUGCCCACAACUCAAUAUUUCAUGAGCGUAAGAGACGCAUUGGGAUUGAUUGUCACUUCACACGUCACCAUCUUCGAUGUGUCACCAUUACCACUUACUCUAACAUUUGUUUCAUCCUUCUUGCAUAUUGUUGAUUUGCUCACAAAGACACAUUCUAUUAUACACUUUUGUUUUUUAUUGACAAACUAUGGAUGCUCCCUAAUAAUUCAUCGUGAGUUUAAGAAAAAAUGUUAGAUAAUAUUUAUAAAAAUGUUAGAUAAUAUUUAUAUUAUCAUGUUAGAGUGGGUUAGUCUUUUCCCAUCUCAAGUUUAUAUACUCUAUAGAGUACUUGUUUCACUAAAUUUGCUCAUAUGAUUGAAACCUUAAGCUAAAGGUGUUCCUCUUCUUCCUCUAUUUUUCUAUAUGUUUAUCAUUGUUAACACAACACAUUUUCCUCUCUUUUUUCUUCUACUUUAGAAAGAAUAAAAUAACAAAUGGUAUAAAUUUAGGGAGUUGUGUAGCUUAACUAGUUUUAGUUAGUUAAGUUCUUCUAAAGUUAACUAGUUUUCUUCUAAAGUUAGGUACCGUUUAGCUAGUCUUUUUUCUACUUCUCUACAGUUGUAAUGAGAAGUUAGGUCAAACACAAUAUCAAUUAAAUAUUAAGUAAAAAAAUAAUACUUUUUAAAAUGCAUAAAAUUGAAUGAAAAAAACUUUACCAAAAAUUAUCUUUUAAUAUUAUAUUUCAAUAUAUUUUUUUUGCUUUCAUUUAAUUUUAUUCACGUUGGGCACCUCUACGGUAGUACUUUUUGAGGAACCUCUACAAUAGUACUGUUUAAAUCUAAUCUAAUUUUCUUUUCAUUUAAUUCUCGCCAAAACCCUAAACCCUAUAUAUAUAUAUAUAUAGUAGUGUUACACUCCUUGUUUGUCCGUUUGUUUUUUUACUACGCUAAUGCGUAUAAAUUACAAAUAAUGAUUUUUAUGAAAUUUUUAUUUAUUAUAUUAAUUUAUAAUAAAUUUAAAAUUUUUUACAAUAUUUUGUCAAACAACUUUUAACUUAAGAAUAACCUUAGAACCAAAAAAGAUAAAGAAUACCAAACAACUUUCACUUCUUUCCUAAAAUCGUUACUUUUAACUUUGUUUUACAAGUAAUUUUAAACUAUAAAAAAACCAGGCCAAACAAUGCCAAAAUUAAUCUUAAAGCUCAUUUGUGUCAUUUUUUAGUGUAAUUAUUAAGCUUAUUUUCAUUUUAAAAGCUUGUAAAAAAUAUGUUUAGCCAAGCUAAAAAAAAGGCUGAGCUAAACACUACCUUAGUGUGUGUAAAUAUUGAUCGUCGUAUGUGCUCGUGAUAUUAGCUUAGUUGGCAAGGACAAUACAUAAUACAUCCUCCGGUCAUUAUCAUAAGCAAAACUUUGCAUUUUAGAUUCAUUCAAUUAAUGAUGUAUGUUGUUUAUAAUAAAGACUAUAUACAUCAUUAAUUGAAUGAAUGUAAAAUGCAAAAUUUUACUUAUAAUAGUGACCAGGUUCAAACCCGACCACCAUAAAAAUUUAAUUUAAUUAAUUAUUUUACAACAAAUCUGAAUUAACGCACACGAAGCUGAAUGAUACCGAAACACAAAUGCCAACGCGCAAAAUAUUCAUUCAUCCAGGUCUUCUUUUUUAUUUUUUAUAAAGUCCAGAUCUAUUUAUUUGUUUAUUAAACGCGAUAUACACGCCUUCACACUUCAAAAUAUAUAUAUAUUUUACUUCAAAUUAAAAACAUUAAGAAGUGAGUUGCAAUUUACAUUCAUUUGAUUUUAAUUAAAAAGUCAUAUUUUAUUAUCUUGAUUUUGAUUAAAAAAGUCAUAUACUAUUAUCUUAAACUAGUCAUUCUAUAUUUAUUUAUUUUUGGUAGAAAGUCAUUCUAUAUUUGAUAUUAAGAAGUGAGUUGCAAUUUAUAUACAUAUUUUAUCUUAAUUUUUUUUAACGUGUUUGCGUGAAUAAGAAAAAUUCAACAAGGAUUGAAUUUCGAAUAUGUUGAAAGAUUUGUAAGAUAUUAUUUGAAAUUCAAACAUGUAAUAUUUAUUUCUGUUUCUCAAAAAGUUCUUUUAAUUUAUUAGGCAGAAUAUUGGCUUGAUUCAGUGAAAUUUCUCAUGUAAGAUUGAUACAUGAUUCUUGGGGCUUUGAUACAUGUGUUCCCAACACUUUUCUUUUAAUAAAGGUUCUCUUUUUCGUUUCUAAAUACAUGUCAUUGUCAACUACUUUACACAUGUUAAUGCACAAUUUUGAGUAUUAAUAUAUUUAAUUAUUUAUAAUAAAAAAUUAUAUAAAGUUGAUAUUUUAAGAAUAUUCAUCGAGAUAAAUCAAAAAAUAUUUUAUAUAUUAACAUUUAUCUUUAUAUAUUAAUAAAAAAUUAUGAUAAAAAUAAAUUAUGUGAAUAGUGCACAUAUCAAAUUGUGACAUGUAUUCAAUCUAUUCAUUUUUGUUAAUUAAUUAAUUAUAUUGUUUAAUUUUUCUUUUGAAAGUCAAAUUCAAAAUAAACCACAAUGUGGCAAUCACACUCACACUCACACGUAUUAACCCAAAGCCCUUGUGCCUAAUCCAAUCAAAAAAAUUCUAGCAAAUUUGCACAUAUUAAGAAGUUUAAUAUAGUAAAUUUGUAUUAAAAUUUGUGUAUUUUAUAUUGAGUUUAUAAAUUUUAUUGAGUUUGAAAACUUUCAGGUUCCAAAUAAUAAAAUUUUGCUCUUCAGAAAUAUCGACUCUACUUGAGUAGAUUGCAAAAGGAAAAUUAUCAAAAUUCUUCCUCAUGAAGGUGAAUUUGAAUAAAGCAUUUAAAUUUACCUUCAAAAGACCGGACAUUAAAACUUCUAUGGAUACUUACAAGUCAUAGUGGUGAUCUCAAGAGAAUUGUGACAAGUGACAUUCUUGAUCCAAAGAAAAGAUAGAGUUCACAGAUAGGUUUUAAUCAACCUUUUGAAUAUGUAGAUUCAGAAGCAAACCAUACAGUAUUUAGAGACAUUAAAGUGUAUAAAAAUGGACAACUUCAAUCACUCAAUUCGUCAUGCAACAAUUACCCUAAUUCAUAACUAAAAUUCCUAAACCCAAUUAUAUAAACCCUUGUCCCAAAAUAACGACGAAUGUGGGAGGGUAACCCACCCCUAAUUCUAGGUUGGAGAUGAUGAUUCAAGCUUGCAAUUUAUUUUUUUUUUGCUCCUAAUCUCUUCCCUUUAAAAUUGAGUGCAAAUAUAAGUUUAAAAUGGUUGUUUACGAGGAUUUUGUUUUUAUAUCUUGACCAUGUUAUGCUCAUGUUUGUGGCCUUUUUUUUUUUUAUAAAUUUUUUGCAUUUAUUUAUUUAUGGUGCAGUAAGCUAGCAACCAAAAUCUGAAAUGGAAACAUCCUCUCAAUGUUUGUAUUGGGGAUCUUUUUUUCCCUCUCAGGUUGCCUACAUGAAGGUGCAGUUAAUGCUUUUGAAGAUGUUGCUGGCAAAAGUUUUAAUCACUUUUCAGCUUUAGAGAUGGAGUAUUCUUUCUAUUAACUUGGCCUUUUAAACAUUUCCUAAGCUCUAUUGUAUUAUCAUUUUUGGCCCUUCCCAUGAGCAUUACUUAUGCUUAAGCUUAAGAUAUCAAGAAUGAAUAGAACAUGUGAAAAUAAAUUCAAAUAAUAUAUGCAUGUUUCUAAAGCAUUGUAAUAAAUAAAUCAAAUAGAUUCUCAUAAAAAAAAACAAGUUCAAAUAAAUAUGAAGUAACGCACACUAAAGUUGAAUGUAUAUAUUUAUUAUUUAUAUUAGUACUUUGUUUAACGUAUCUUUUUUCUUCAAAAUAUUAACACGUUGGUGAGAUGUGCGGUAUACGUGUAUUCAUAUUCAUACUAUUGCUCCCUCAAAAAAAUAUUCAUACUAUUGUUUAUUGUAUUGUAAUAGCUUAUAAGCAAAUUCAUCCACUAUAUAAACUCUUGUGCUAAUGUCAAGGCAAUGCAUUCUUGAUAGCUUAAACACUAGUGAGGAUAUCAAUUGAAUUAUAUAUAUAUAUAUAUCAGCUUGAGAGGCAUUUUAUUACCAUGGAAAUUGAAUUAAUUUCUAGAGAAACCAUCAAACCUUCAUCACCAACUCCUUCUCACCUCAAAAUAUACCCACUUUCUUUCAUAGACAACAUUUUGAUGCGUAACUAUGUGCCAUUACUUUACUUUUACAAACCAAACAAAGAUAGUGACCAAAAUGUCAAAAUUUCACAAUUACGUAAAUCUUUAUCUCAACUUUUAUCCAAAUAUUAUCCUUUUGCUGGAAGGUUGAAAGAUAAAAUUACCGUCGAAUGUAAUGAUCAAGGUGUGCCGUUUCUAGUCACAAAUGUCAAAAACAAACUAUCAGAAGUCCUCCAAAACCCUAUAGAAAAAUUGUUGAACCCUUUGUUCCCGGAUGAAUUGCAAUGGAAAGAAAUGGAUUGGAGUGAAACUUUAAUAGCCAUUCAAAUCAACUGUUUUGCAUGUGGAGGAAUGGCGAUAAGUGUUUGCAUGAGUCACAAAAUUGGUGAUGGUUCGACACUUUUCAACUUCAUGAAUGAUUGGUCCAUUAUCAACGAAAAUUUACCAAAAGAAAAAGAAGGAGAAAAAGGGUUAUUAGAAUUACCCUUUCAUUUCCUUGAUGGAGGAGCUUCAAUGUUUCCACAAAGAGAUUUACCUAUUUUUCAAGAACUUGUUCUUAAGAGAGAAAACAAUGUGGUGUGUAAAAGAUUUGUGUUUCAACCCUCAAUGAUCAAGUCCCUUAAGAAAAUGGCAACUUCUAGUUCGGUGCAUUCUCCCACACGUGUACAAGUUGUGACUGCAUGGAUUUACAAAUGCACGGUUUCAAUAACGGGAUUAAAUUUCAAGACAUCAUUGUUUAGUAUGGCUGUUGAUUUUCGCAAAAGAAUGGUUCCUCCGUUGUCUGAAAAAUGUGUAGGGAACAUAUUUUGGUUCUCGUCUAUGUUUGCAGAUAAGAAGGAAAUGGAACUAAAGGAUUUGGUAUGCAAAAUAAAAGAAGGGUUAUCUGAAUGUUGUGACGUUUAUCCAAAAAUAUUUGGAGGGAAAAAGAAUGAUAAUUUGUUAAAAAUAUCUGAAUGCUUGAAACAAGUUACUGAGUCUUAUUCUGAGAAUGGAAAUUUGAUUAGUUUUAGUAGUUGGUGUAGGUUUCCAAUGUAUGAAGCUGAUUUUGGGUGGGGAAAACCAAUAUGGGUGACAACUAGUGCUUGUUACGUGAGGAAUGGGAUAAUUUUGAUGGAUACAAGAGAUGGGGAUGGGAUUGAAGCGGUUGUGAAUAUGGAAGAGAAUGAUAUGACUAAGUUUGAGCAUGAAGUGAAGCUUCUUCAAUAUGCCUCUCUUAAUCCAACCAAUGUUUAACAUGAUGAGUAUGUGGAUCUAUAUAUAUAAUAAUAAUAAUGUGUUGGUGUGGAUAAGUGAUUUUCAAUAAGGAUUGAAUUUUGAAUGUGUUGAAAGAUAAUUGAAAAAUAUUCAAUCAUGCAAGGUUUUCUGUUUCUUAAAAAAAAUCUUUUAAAUUGGCUUGAUUUAGUGAAUUUCUCUCAAGAUUGAUACAUGUACUUUUUUACACGUUUCAUUUAAUAAAGUUAUUAAAUUUUGGUUCUUUUCCUUUCUCUUUUGAUUUCACUUUCAGCUAGUUUAUUGUAGUCAAUUAAUUCACGGUUUAUUAUAACUUAUGUUAGUAUAUAAACCACAUUGUGUUCAUCACAAGUAACAACUUACAAACUAAAAACCAAAUCCUUGCACCUUAUAAUAAGUUGCAUGUGCGCCUGAUCAAACAAUUCAAAUCCCCUACAUUUAUCUAGCAAUCAAUUAACAAACAAAAUAUUACCAAUGCAAAGCCUAAAAGCUAAUGAAAAUAUUUGUAUUGGAAACUAAUUUCUGCUGAAUUUUAUUUUGAAGAAACAUGCAUGUACAUGAUAGCAACAGAAAUUGUGUUGAAAUUGUUCUCCACAUUAGUCAAAUGGUUGCAGUUUCUUUUAAAACUUGCACCAGACUUGUAUUAGUUAUUUAUCAAUUAAGAGAUUUAACUCAUUAACAAUUAAAUUAAGUAAUAAAAUUUAUUAAAUUUUUAAUUGGAUAAUUAAUUAAUUGAUAUGAAAUAAAAUAUGAGUUACAUUGUCAUUAGUCCAUAUUCUAUCCGACGUAAAACUCUUAACAAAGUCAAGAACCACUCGAUACUUGUCUCAUGUUGUGGAUAUCCACGUUGUAAGAUUAAUUAUUAAAUUAAUUUGAACGUAUACAUCCCACAAAUGUGUUGUCUCAAAACAGAACAUGGACUAAUUAGAUCAAUUUAUCAAUUUCACAUGACAGCUACUACAUAAAAACUCAUGUUAUUUCUAACCCAAAUUAUUUCUAUCUAGCCAAUUUGACCAUAAAAUAGAAAAACAAAUAAUUUGCAACAUCUCUCUUGAACCUGCAGAGCAUAGGAUAGGACCGUGAAUGUUCAAAAUAGAUUGCAGUCAAAUCCUGAUCCAGCUAAUUUCAUCCAUUGCAUCAAGAAUCAAGAUGCUGAUUGGGUUGCCGGCCUAUCUUAGUAUGUUUUAUACAUUUCUAAAUUACUCAAAUAUGUCAAAUCAAUGUAUGCAGAUACAAUUGGACGUUAAUUAAUUGGUUGUUUCAGUAACGACCUACUUGUUUUUUUAAUGAAAAUAACCAACUUGUGUUCAUUUUAACUUGGAUCAAUAACUAUAAUUAAAGUUUUUUUUUUUUUUUUUAAUGAAAUAUACCACAAACACUCUGUACAGACAGGAUUGGUCCAAUAAUUUUUAAUAGUAAAUUAAAUCUAAACCUAGUUUUGAUAUAUGGGGCUUUUUCCUACAUGAGUUUUUUUGUUUAUAAAAUAUAUCAACAUAUAUAUUUUAUUUGUAUGGCCAGUCCUCUUAUUUAUACAUGAUAAGUUUUGGCUGACUUUUUCAUUACCUAUUUUACCCUUUAUUUAAACUAUUUUAUCCUUUAAUAAUUUUAUUUUUAAUUUUAAUUAAAAAAAUCAAAUCUCAAUAAAAUAGGAAAUAUCCCACUCCAAUGGGAACAAUAUUAUCAUUAUUAUAUAUGAAGGGGAUAGAGAUUUUGGGCUAAAUUUUUUAUAAUUUCAAUUAUACCCUUAAAUUUUUAAUAUCCCACUCCAAUGUUACUUAUAAUUAUAAAAAAAGGGUAUAAUUGAACAUUGUGUAAGGGUAGAAUUGUGGGCUAAAUGUUUAGAAUUGUUUAACAUUGUGUACCAAUGCACUUAAAUUAUUGGGUGUAAAACAAAAGUUUAUUUUAUGGCAAAUUCUAUGGUACACCCAAUAAUUUAAGUGCAUUGGUACACCAAAUUCUUAAAUUAAUAGUUAAAUGAGUUAUUUUUUGUAGGAAAAAAAUAUUUUCUAUCACCUAUAAUUAUAAUAACUAAAUCUUUUUUACCAAAAACGUCAACACAAUAAAAUUUGAUUUUUCUGAAUUCCUAUUACUCAUAAUAGAGAAUUUUGAUUAUUUUUUACAAUAAAAUGUAAAAAAAUUUAGUAUGAUUUUUCUAAAAAAUGAAAUGAUGUUUUUUCUUAUAAAAUGAUAUUUUCUAAAAUAUAUAUGUCAACAAACACCUAUUUCUUUCAUAAAAAAUGAUAGUUAAUUUAUAAAAAUGUAAGCGAGAGUACCGGUACACCUUAAUUUGCGGGUGUACCGUAGAAGUUCCCUUUAUUUUAUACGUUCUUUAAACAAUGUUAUUGAAGCGUUUGUUAACAAGACUCUAUAUUUUUUUCUCAUACUAAAUGCUGAAAUUUGACUCCACUUUUUUUUUUUUGUGGUAGCUGGGAUUCGAACCCCGAAUCUCAUAUGAUAUAAAUUUAACUAGACCAAUAUGUUAGAAAAUGUGUGUCCUAGAGUGUAUUAUUCACAAAUGAAUAAUUGAUUUUAUCAAUGAGAGUAUACGUAUAAAGAAAAACUCCAAACCACAAACUAAGCAAAAAAAAAAAAAAAUCAAGGAACCUAACUUCAUCGAUAUUAUUUUUCUAUUUUUCCCAAUUGGAGUUUGUCUACAAAAUAUUGUAAACAAAAUUCAGUUGCACUACUAUAUAUCAAGUGUUAGAUAGAAUACUGGUUAGGAACAAAGGAUCAGAAGCAGAGUGAGAUCGCUUAAAAAAAAAACAAAGGAACAGAAAGUGAGAUAUAUGGAAAUGGAAAUAAUAUCAAGAGAAUUUAUCAAACCCUCAUCACCAACUCCAUCCCACCUUAGAAAUUUCCCUAUCUCUUUCAUAGAUCACAUUUCUUUCCGUAACUAUGUGCCCCUACUUUUCUUCUACGAUGAUACCAAAGUUUGUGACCAAACAUCCAAAAUCUCACACCUCAAGAAUUCUUUAUCUCAAAUUCUAUCCAUAUACUACCCCUUUGCAGGCAGGUUCAAAGAUCAGCUUUCCAUCGAAUGUAACGAUCAAGGUGCGUCAUUUCUAGUUGCAAAUAUCGCAGGAACAAAACUAUCAACUAUCCUCAAAAACCCCACGGAAAAUUUGCUUAACCCUUUGUUCCCUGAUGAAUUACAAUGGAAGAACAUGGAUUGCAAUGGAAGUAUUUUAGUUAUUCAAAUCAAUUGUUUUGCAUGUGGAGGAAUCAUAAUAAGUGUUUGUGCAUGUCACAAAAUUGUAGACGCUGCAACGGCUUUCAACUUCAUGAAUGAUUGGGCCAAAUUGAAUAGCGAAGGAGAAUCGAACUCAAAGUCGACGUUAUCAUUACCCUACAAUUUACUUUAUGCAGGAGAUACAAUAUUCUCACAAGGGAGUUUGCCUAAUUUCCCAGAAUGUGAGUUUGUAAUAGACAAAACAAUAGUGUCCAAAAGAUUUGUGUUUGAAGCUUCUAAGGUAAAGUUACUUAAGUCCAUGAUGGUAAAUUCGGAUUCAAAUGAGGUGAAAAAUCCCACACGUGUAGAAGUUGUGACUGCAAUGAUUUACAAGUGUGUGGUUUCUGCAUUGGAAUUAAAUUUCAAAACGACAUCGCUUCGCAUGGCUGUGGAUCUUCGUAGAAGAAUGGUUCCUCCAUUGUCUGAUAAGUCUGUAGGAAACAUAGUAUGGUUCUUGUUUCUUAUCAACCCGGAACUACAUGACUUGGUAUUCAAAAUUAGACAAGGGUUGCAUGAAUUUUGUGAGGUUUAUCCAAAGAAAUUCGGAGGUAAAGAAAAGGACUUGUCAUUUAUAUUUGAAUGCUUAAAACAAGUUACUACACCGGUUUCGGAGAGUGAUUAUAAUCAGAGUUUGAUUGUUUAUGCUAGUUGGUGUAAGUUUCCGAUGUAUGAAGCUGAUUUUGGAUGGGGAAAACCGAUAUGGGUGACAACUAGUACUUGUCCUGUGAAGAAUGCAAUAGUUUUGAUGGAUACAAGAAAUGGAGAUGGAAUUGAAGCGAUUGUGAAUAUGAAAGAGAGUGACAUGGUUAGAUUUGAACGAGAAGUGGAGCUCCUUCAAUAUGCCUCUCUUAAUCCGAGUAUUGUUUGAUAUGAUGUUGCUAAUAGGCUCUAACUCAAACAAAUGUUUCUUUGCAUCUUGCUAAAAUUAAGCAUUGUUGUUUGUAUGAAAUUUUCAUUUAGCAGUUAUAUGAUACCUUCAAUUCUAGGUGUUUACUGUACAAGUCAACUCAAUUAAUCUAAAUACUCAACUCAAUCCAGUUUGAAGUGUUAGGUUCAGAUUUUUUUGAACUUAGAUCAAACUCGAAUCAACACAACAAAACUUAAAGUGGUUUAGUUCCGGUAAAGGUUUAUCGUAUAAUUUCAAACCUGCAGGUCUGUGAACCUUUUUUUAAAAGGCAAAAUAAUAUGGUAACAUAUAGCAAUGUUGAACAAAACUUUGGUUAGGAAAUGAGAUUAUAGUGUUCAAUAAAAUUGCAAGAAGCAGACCCCCCCCCCCCCCCCUGCCCCGGCCCGAAAACAAAAUGGCAAAAGGCAGACUUGCCUGCAAGCCAAAAGAAUAAAGCUAGACAUAUAAGACAACAGUCCCUACCCUAAACCAGAAAACAGGACCAAAGCAUAAAAAUCCACAAACAAUAACAGCAAGCUAAAAUUUCAGAGGCCAAAGACCAUACAUAAAAGGCCACAGAAGCUACUAUUCUUGUUUCUUUCACAUGACUAGUUCCUUCGUGAUAAGUUUGUAAAUCAUCCCUGCCUAAAGCACAUGUUAGACAUAAUAUUUGAACUUUAGAGUUUAGGAAUACCAUGUCAGAUUUGUCUUUGGUCUAGUCUUCUUCGAAUUGCUUCUUUUCAGUUGAGUUUGGAACUUUGUCGUCCACUCUUGGUACAUAAUUUCCUUUCUCUACUAUGGACCACGUUUUGUUUUCUUGUGAUACAAGAAACAACUCGUUUUAUCUUUCCAUAAAAAAAAUGCUACAGGCACAAGGUAUUCCAAUUAGCAUAUACAAGCCACACUGAGGCCGUCACAACUAUCCCUUGCAUUUGCCAAAUACAAGCAACUAGUUAACAAAAGAGCUAAAUUUAUAUAGUUUAGAGAAUAAAUUGAACCUAAUGAUAAUUUAAGGGCUAAAUUUAUGGUUUAUUCUACACAUAGAUCCCACAUAUGUGUUGCCUCAAAAAUCAAAACAGAAAUGUAAACCAAACAUAUCUAACUUUUCUAUUUCUCAUGCAAUAAAGUUACACUUAAUUUUUUUUUUUGGGUGGUGUACACUUGAAAUAUUUAUGAUAUGACUUGUAGGCUGUAGCUUCCAAACCAGCAACGGCAAAAUAUAUUAUUAAUAGACUAAAAAUCAAGCGCAUGAAAAUAUCAACGUUAUAAAACCUUUGCAAAAUACAAAAACAUUGAAACAGUCAUAUAGAAAAUGCAAUGUUGUCCAACACUCCCAAACUACAUCAAAUCAAAUAAAAAUACAAUACAUAAUAUUUCACCAAGCCAAUUAUACCAUAUCCUCAAAGAUCACUUGAAUCAUACCACAUCUUGCUGCAAACACGAGCACCGCACCAAAUAACCAUUAGAAGAAAACAAACCUCUUAGAAUAACCAUGACCAUCCCCAACCAAAUGCAUAUCCGUAUACCAUACCGCAAAAAUGAAGUCACACUCACACCUUAUAAGUGCAUGUUUGUAUUCGCAGUACCCUUCGACAGUAUCUUAAGCUUUGCUUGCGAGUUUGGAGGGGAAGGCUUGAGAAAAAAAGGAAUGAGCAAGUGGAAGAAAUAAAGGAAAAUGGGAGGGGAGGGCUUUGGGGGUUAACUUUUCUUCAUGAUACUAAACCUCCUCAUUUGAGGGAACUAAAAAAUUGCAUUGGAGGAGUGUUUUGAGGGGUUUAUAUGAAUUCUUCAAAUUUAAUCUAUUUUGUUAUAUUAUUUUUAAAAUUAAAAAUUUAUUAAUCACAUGCAUUAAUUUGUCAUUCUCUAAAAAACUACUCUUUUACAAAAUUUGAAAGAUUUCUCCAUUUUUCCUCAUAUUUUCCACCCCUCAAAGUCUUCCAUUCUCCUCCCCUCCAAACUCACAAACAAAGCCUUAGUGAAUUUCUGCAAUUUUGUAAGAGUUACACUUUAUAGUUUAUUCAAAAUCAUGGUGUUGUAAUCUCAAAAUAAUUGACAUAUCAAAAGUGUACAUGAGAAGUUUUAUAGAAGCAUUUAGACUUAAAAAAAACUUUCGUGUUUAUAAUUUAAAGGGAAAUGUUAACAAGUGCCCUUUAGUAACUUUAAAUAGUAAGUUUUUGUCAAAGUUUAUGAAAUCAAUGCAUUGGAAAUUGAAGUUUUUGACUUUUUUAAAGAAUAAUUUCUUUAUUAAGAAUCCUUAAAGAGUGCAUAAGGGCAAUCGUUAACAAGACCCUAGUUAAAAUACUAGAAGAAACUUGCAGGGGAAGUUUUUCAAGUUAGUUAGAAAACAUUUGACAUUCAUGCGCCAUAGAUGUUAGUUUAUGUAUUUUUCUAUAAUUAAUAGAAUCAAACUCCAUGUUAAGGAGUACAUUUUUGUUCUGUAAAUGCCCACUAAUAACACAUAUUCAUCCACAUAGGAUAAACAUCUUGCUAGAUGAUUGAUUGAACAAUAUAUGUAACUCAAUAUAAUAAUAAUAUCAUUCUAUUUUAGUUUUAUUUCUUGUUUUUCUGCACUUUUAGGUGUGGUCUAAUGGUAGUGGUUUGGGGAUUGAGUAUCAUUUGAUGGUGCCAUUAUUAAGGAGUUGAUUCAUUGUAAAUGAACUGAAGUCGUAUUAUGAAUUGAGUGUUAUUUGCUGAAGAUGGUAUCGAUAGACGUCAUUGUCUUCAUAUAUAGGACGUGUCGGGUAGUGUUGGGAUGGAACUAGAAUUGACUGUCGGAUUAAGGUCUUGAGGAUAUUACUAGCAGGAAUGUCUCACAAGAAAGGUGGGGAUAUUAAGGUCUUGAAGAUGAGACUAAAGACUAUGUACCCUCCUUGCUUUUUUUAGUUCCUCGAAGGUAUGUGCCAAGAAAUCAUAGAAUGAACCCAGAGUCAUGUGUUUGUAAAUUUUUAAUGAUUAUUGUCAUUUCAUCUAUCUAAUAAUUUUCCAGUUUCAUGUGAAUAAUCUCAUAUUAAUAAAUAAGUAAAAAAUUAUAAAUAACAACAUGAUUAAACAAAGUCAUUGCAUAUUGCACCAUCUUUUUUUAAAGUAUAAGAUUACACCUAUUGAAACUUUGUUUUGUUGAUCAAGUAAUCUAGUGACGAAAAUAUUUAUAACAAACCCGAUGUUCGAAUCUUGAUCCUAAACUGCCGCGUUUUUUUUUUUUGAACAAAUUGCCGUGUUUAUGUCAACUGAACUUAUCCCGUUGAUUUUUUUUUUAAAUUGUAUUUAAUUUAUUUUCUUUUUGUCAUCGCUGAGUAAAAAAAAUAAAAACUCACAUAUCUUCCACUUCGGCGUUUCUCUAUUCUAACCCCUGAAUCGCCGUUUAUGCGAAACGAUUGAAGAAAACCCUCACCAACAACCAGUAUUACGGUGAUACUGAUUCAUUUCCACCGCUGAAACCCAAUGGCUCCGAAGCCCAAAACGACGCCGUCGCAGCCUCCAGCUCCACCUCCACUCGAAGAUCUAUUCACCACUCUCAACAAACACAUCCAAGCUUCCGCAUUCACCAAUGCCGUUAAACUCACAGAUCAGAGUUCGUUAAUUCUCAAUCUCCUCUUAAUUUCAAUUAAUUGAUUAAUUAUAUUUAUCAUCGAAUUAACAAUUUCGUUAUCUCAUCGCAGUUCUCGCAAUUGCACCUGCCGAUGAAGACGCGCUCCGAUGCAAGAUCGUUGCGUUAAUCAAAGAUGAUCGAUUUGAUGAUGCUGUUUCUGCAAUUCAAUCUUCUCGGACUCCUCCUGAGGAUUUUCAUUUCUUUAAGGUUCGUCAAUUAAAUCUGAGUUUCGUUGUUUUCUGAUUGAUUGAUUCGUGAAAUCCAGAAUUAGAGCUUAUGAUAGGGUAAUUGCUAUGAGUUGUAGAAUUCAUUGUUAGAGGUUGAAUUAUGAAAAUCCAUCAAAUUAGUCUCUUAACAUUUUACUAGCAGGUACUAAAUUGAUUGAAUGUAUAUACUUUAUGAAUUGCUUAUUAAAAUUAGCUUAUGCAAAAAAAUAAGCUUUUAUGUUAAUCUAUAAGUUUUAACUAACGAAAAUUGUAUCUUCAUAACCUGGUUUUUUUUUUUUUUUUCUUUUCCAUAAACUAUAUUGACAAACUUAUAAAUAAUACCAAAAAGCUCAUUUAUUUGCAUAAGCUCAAAAUAAGCCUUAUACAAAUGGGUGGACUAAAUUGGAGAGAGAAGGUGAUAGUUUAGGGAGACUAAAUUGAUUGUUUAUUCAUCGAACUAUGAAAUGGAAGCAUGGGGAGAUGUGUCUGUGAACUCUAGUAGUAGAUAUUAGGUCCAUGUGCAUGAGCUUAUUUUGUAUGAGUUCAAUUUUGAUACACUGUCCGUGUAAAAAAAUGUUACAUCGUCAAGGAAUGACAACAAAUCAUGUGUGACUUUAAAAGUAGUUAUGAUUAAACUAGUUAUGAUUUGAUGUUUGUGAUUGAUUGACUGUGUAAAAAAUCUUUACGCUGAUAGUGCAUUAAUUAAGCGUUUAAAUCAUUUGUAUAUACGGAAGUGGUUUCUGUCAUGUUGAAAAAAAUAUGAGCGUCAUGUUUAUAAUAUUAACCAUUCAAUCCUGAUCCUCUAUAUAUACAUGAGCGACAUGACCGAAAUUGAACAUGGGGGAAUUCAUUCCCUGUAUAUACAUAUAUGCGCUGAAACAUUGCAUACAUUUCAUAGAAAACUUUGUUGGAGUUAAUGGUAUCAGUGAGAAAAUGCUUACCAUCAAUUAUUUUUUACUUUGUUGUUUUUAAAUAGGCAUACUGCUUAUACAAACAAAACAAGUUGGAUGAAGCUUUGGAGUCUUUGCAAAAACAUGAGAGAAAUGAUGAAACUAUGCUUUUGGAAUCUCAAAUUUUGUAUCGUCUUGGGAAAAUGGAUGCUUGCCUGGAUAUCUACCAGAAGCUUCAAAAGUCCAAGAUUGAUAUGUUGGAAAUUAAUUCUGUUGCUGCCUUAGUUAUGGCAGGGAGAUCAUCUGAAGUUCAAGGAUGGCUGGAUUCAUUUCGGGUUAAAGCAACAAGCAGCUUUGAAUUGGCAUACAAUACUGCUUGUUCUUUAAUUCAAAGGAACAAGUACACAGAAGCUGAGCAGCUCUUGUUGUCUGCCCGAAGGUGAUGUGAUAUUUUGAUUGUGGGAAUCAUGAAAUUGACCAAAUUUACUUCAGAUAUUUUCAUGGGUAACAUAUAACAUUAUAGUCUAGCAAUAUUUGAUUUAUUAUAGUCCAACACUAUUCAAAUAUUCAAUUUUAGUGUUUGUGAUGUGUAUAGAGCAUACAAUAUAUCAUUCACACAAAAAUAGUAUAUCAUGUAUCUGUCUUAUCAGUUGCUAGAUGUGAUAUCUACCAAAUUUCAGGAGUAUGUGCUUAGUUCUACAGCUUUGUUUAUAGUUUUUUUGUACUUAUGAGUCAUGAUAAAAACUCAUUUUUAUAUUUGACCAUUAAUAAUAGGUGCUUCGUAUUUGCAAGUCAAGUGUGAUUGGUCUGAGUAAACGUUCCUUAUUGUAAAACAUGGACAAAGCUAUAAUUGCUACAAUCAAAUGUUGUUUGUCAGUUAGUUGUUUUGACUUCAAUUAGUUAACCUAUUAAGUCAUAAACUUAUUUCCCGAGAGGUUAUACAUGAAUGGCAUAUACUUAUUAUUUAUUUAUUUUUAUCAGAAUUGGUCAAGAGAGCCUGAUGGAAGAUAACUGGCCUGAUGAAGAUAUAGAAAAUGAAUUGUCUCCUAUUGCUGUACAAUUGGGCUAUGUCCAACAGGUAGGAGUUUUGAUUUCUCAAAAUUAUUUAUCUUAAGCAAAUUUUACUUAUCUCAAGAGUCUGUAAUUUUAAUCAAUCGUUGAUUGGCAGCUUCUUGGGCGUAAACAAGAUGCUAUUGAAGCUUAUGUGGACAUGAUUAAACGAGAUAUGGCCGAUGAAUCGUCCAUUGCAGUUGCAGUCAAUAAUCUUGUUUCCCUGAAAGGCCCAAAAGAUGUUUCUGAUAGUCUGAAGAAACUUGAUCGGCUAAAAGAGAAAGAGAUGCAAAGCUUUCGCCUAGCUCAUGGAUUGGACUUGAAACUUUCAGCAAAAGAAAGGGAAGCAAUAUAUGCAAAUAGGGUUCUUUUGCUUCUUCAUGCUAACAGGAUUGACCAGGUCUUUUAUCUGUCUUCUUGUCCUUAAAUCAUCAGUCAUAUAUCAUCAUCAUCAUCAUCAUCAUCAUCAUUAUUGUUAUUGUUGUUGUUGUUGUUGUUGUUGUUGUUGUUGUUGUUGUUGUUGUUGUUGUUGUUGUUAUUAAUAAUAAUAAUAAUAUGGUUACAUCGCAAUCUGUAGGCUCGAGAACUUGUUUCUGCAUUACCAGUCAUGUUUCCUGAAAGUGCUGUACCAGUAUUGCUGCAAGCUGCCCUCUUGGUUAGAGAGAACAAAGCUGGAAGGGCUGAGGAAAUACUGGCACAGUUUGCUGGAAAGUUCCCUGAGAAGUCCCAGGUUCUUUACUUAGCCAGGGCUCAGGUUGCGGCGGCAGCUGGCCACCCACAUAUUGCUGCCGAUUCUCUAACAAAGUUACCAGAUAUUCAACACAUGCCGGCUACUGUUGCCACCCUUGUGUCUUUAAAAGAACGAGCCAACGAUGUUGAGGGUGCAGCUGUUGUGCUUGAUUCUGCAACCAAGUGGUGGUCUAAUGCUAUGACUGAGGACAAUAAGCUUAAUAUUAUAAUGCAAGAGGCUGCCUCAUUCAAGUUAAGGCAUGGAAGGGAAGAGGAUGCUGCUAAACUCUAUGAGGAGCUCGUUAAAAGUCAGGGAAGCAUAGAAGCGCUAGUUGGGCUGAUAACAACAGUUGCCCGUCUUGAUGUUAUUAAGGCAGAGCUAUAUGAAAAGAAACUAAAGACCUUACCUGGAUUGAAAGGAAUUGAUGUGGACGGCUUGGAGCGUACUUCUGGAGUUAAACAAGUUGAGGGUCCUCUUCAUGCAGGUGUUGCUGAAACGAACGACGAAGGAAAGAAUAAGACAAAAACUAAGAGAAAGAGAAAGAGAAAGCCAAGGUAUCCUAAAGGGUUUAACCCUGCAAACCCAGGUCCUCCACCAGAUCCAGAAAGGUGGCUUCCCAAGCGAGAGAGGUCAACUUUUAGGCCCAAGAGGAAGGACAAACGAGCUGCUCAAGUUAGAGGCUCACAGGGCGCUGUAGUUAGAGAUAAGCAGGAAGCUGGUGCUUCUUCCAGUCAUUCCAAUCCCAAAUCAAACCAGGCAACUUCCUCCAAAGGUGCUACUCAGAGUGCAGUUUCUGAGCAAACCAAGCCUUCAUCCAAGCCUUCAUCCAAGUCUAGAAAGAAGUCUAGGAAGUAAUAAGGAUUUGUGAUUUCUGAUAAACAUUUUGUAUUACUAACAUUUUGUUGUUGCUGCUUUCAAUGACUGAGGGUCGAUAUACACUAUGCGAGUUCAAUCUCAAAACCAUCAAUUUUGGUUCAAUUCAAACAAAUGGGUAUAUUUGUCUAUUUGAUGCAAGUGUUAAUGUGCGUGUUUGGUGCAUUACGUGCAUGCAUAUUUUUGAUAGAUUCUUGAUCUAGCAACUCACUAAGCAGCUAAAACAAUUGGUUUACCAUUAAUUCAGUGGUUUGUUUUUGUUUACUUAUCCUUUGUUUUUUAUUGGUACAAUAUUCCCUUAUGCGAUAUUUACUCCCAUAAACGGAUGCUUAAGAAACUUGAGAAGGAAUGGUAAACUCUCAUUGGCAUUCUUCAAGGUUAAGCUUGAAUAUUUGCAUAGCAUAUAAUAAUAUAGUUCUCAUAAUAUUUGUUAGUUGUUGGCUACGCUUAAACACCAUUGUAAUAAUAAAUUUUAUGUAUUUCGUUCUGAGAAUAUUAUUAUCCAUGUUGUUAACAAGUACUGUUAUUUCUUAAGGGUGAAUGAAUGAGGAGAAUUACAUAUCUGAGACUAAUUUACUCUGUCAAAUUCUAGUCUGACAUUUUUUAAUCACAAUCUGAGAAUACGGAUAGUAUAUGUGUAUCUUUAUCUCUUAUUUUUUAUCUUCCACAACUUACACGGAUUUCAUAAAUACACAAAUAAAAUGAUAUCGUAUAUAAAUAGAAGAGAUCUUUUUAUAUUAAAAGGUAAAUAUUAUUUAACAUAAAAAAAAACUAUGUUUGCAUAUUAUUUCUCUUUCUACUUAAAAGGAUCUCUUCCAUUUAUAUACAAUGUUCCUUUUAUUUCAUUUCUCUUGUUGGUUCUGGAGUGAGGUUUUACAUCUUAGCCUCUUAGGUAGUUUUUAUUGAAGUCAAAUUGCAAUUCUUAUUUAGUUGGAAAACAAUUGUUAUGAUUGCUUCAUUAUGCAUAUUGGUUAGCGUAUCAAUAUAUCCCUUUAAUGGUAAUAAAUUUGCUUUGUUUAUAAGAAAUGUAUUUUUAACUAGCUUUUCAGUGAGGCCAAACUCUUAAAACGGUCUAAGUUAAACCUUAAAAAAAUGUCUAUGAGACACACUCAUGUGAUUUAAGCUUGGGAGAAAGGUAACCUCAAAAAAAAGAAAGGUAACCUCAAACCUUAACAAGGUAAGUGUUUUGGUAUGAUAGAAUUGAUUUUGGUUAAAUUUUGGUUAAAAGUGAGUAGAUAUGAAUUGAUUUUUGUUUGGAUAAAUUUAUUUAAAAGUGAUUCUUAUAGUGGAUGUUGUUUGGAUAAUUUGAAUCAAAAUUGAUUUUGAAGUGUAAUGACCAAAUUAAUCUUUUAAUUGUAUUUUAAAAUAAACACCUCAUUCUCAUUAGAUAAUUAUUUCAACUUAUUAUAAUGGAUUUUUUUUUUUGACAAGAUCAUAAAUGGAUUUUAUUUCUUAAAAAAUUCAUUUUAAAAUAAUAUUACUUUAUAAGAGUCAUUUUUAAUAAAAAAAAUUUAUCAAUUGGACGAUUUUUUAAUACAAUAUAAGCUUCAAAACAUGUAAUAAAAAAACAUCCAUUAUAAACGAAGGGUGCGGUUAUGGUGCAUAAGGAAAUCUUUAUGCACCCUACAUAAAUUCAGAAAUGGUUUUGAAGUACAACUCACAAAAACCAUUUCCACAGCAAAAUGGUUUUGGCAUAAUUUUAUAUACAAAAUAUAAUAUGAUAUAUACAGGGUGCUGGAAACCAUUAAGUACAUCUAAUGGUUUUGGAAUACAACUCAUAGAAACCAUUUCUGAAUUUAUGCAGGGUGCAUAAUAAUUUCCUUAUGCACCAUAACCGCAGCCAUAAACGAACAGUGAACCGUAAUAAAUAAAAUGCAUACCUACCACAAAAAAAUUGAACAGUGUAUUAGAUUUUUUUUUUUGGGGGGGACAUUAAAUAUAUUAUAUUAUAUUAGAAUCCAUAUAUUAUAUUUAUAAAAAAAAAAAAAAAAAAAUCAUAUAUAAUUUAUUCAAAAAAAAAAAAUCAUAUAUAAUAUUAUUUUAAGUUAAGAUAAUGGGCUAGUUGCAUACAAAAAGGAAUUCAUCUCCAACCUUCGGAUUGGCACUGUUGCAACACAGAAAGAACAUGAGCGUUCGCCGCAAAGGAAUAACGAAAAGCUCAAGCACAAGCAGUGAUAUCAAAAAUGUAUCCGAUACAUUAUGGUUUUUGUCGUUUGAUUUAAGUUAAUUUAUUAUGUUUUUUUCCUCUUCUCUUUGUUUCACUUUUAGAGUAAAAGUUGGCUUCGGAGGGGGCAAACAUGAGAAAUUAGGAUAUAUUUGCUUUAUCUGUAGUUUAUGAAAAGUUUUUUUGGAAGAAUUGAUUCUGACCAAACGCAAAAGCUAUGAAUCUGAGCUUCAGGAAAACUGACGUUUUGAAGCAAAAUCACGUUUUACAAACUCACUUUUUCAUUCAUCCAAACAACAUGAAAAAUUGAAAAACGCAGUUUAGAAACAAAAAAACUACGUUUGGGAGCUGAAAACGUGGUGCCAAACACCUAACAUAAUUUAAACCAUAUAUAAAUGGAACUUAACAACUAAUUAGUGAUUGCAGAACAGUAAUUGCUAGUGAUUUAUUUCAUUUAAGCUCGAUCGAAUUGAGUAUGGAAAGGAACGAAAUAAAGAUUGGUUUUUGAUUAAAGAUAUGAAAAUAGAAAAGAAUUACAGUAGUAAAUUGGAAAUGAAAAUAUUAUAUAAUAAAAUCAAAUAUAAUUUCAAGUUUGUGGACAAAAAACGGAGUAAGAAUUUAAAUAGAAACUAGGUUGUAGCACUUUCUAUAAUGAAUUCGAAAACUGAAAUGAUAAUGACCAAACAACAUUGUGGGAGGAGAAGAAGGUAUGAGACAAACUCUAAUCAACUCCUCGUGAGCCUCAUGGUUCACCCGCGUGCCAUUUGAUUGCACACCAACAUUAUCUCUUAACCAUGUAACCAUCCUAACACCUUAUGCUAUCAUAGUUCUAACAUUAAUAGAGGAUAGAAAAACACGAAAUGAGUUUUUUUUUUAUUGUUUUAGAUUUUAGUAAUAUAAGUCGUUUACGUUAAUUAUAAUUUAAAAAAAUUAAGUUAUAUUGACACAUUUAAAAUUAAAUAUGUUUGAACAAUUUGUAAAUUCAUCAACCUAUAUUUUUUUAACAAUUUAUUAAAAUUUGUUUAAACAUUUGAAGAUAGUUAUAUUUUUUCUGAAAUAAAACUAAUCAAAAUUUUGGAUAAAUCAUUUUUAACAUUUUCAUAGGUUAAAAAGUGAAAUUUACUAAGGAAAAAACAAAUUAAAACUCAAGAUAAAACACUUAUAAUAUUUUCAUAAGAUUUAUUAUGUUUUUAUUGUUUUAGAAUAUUUGCAUGAAUUAAAAUUUAAAAAACAUUUCAAGUAAUAAUAAUAUAAACAUUUAAAAGUUGAAUAUGUUUCUUUCAAAAAAAAAAAAAGUUGAAUAUGUUUGACUAAAUCAUCCUUAUUUAUUAAUUUUAUUAGGUCUGCAGCAAUUUAACCUAAUUUUUUCCCUCAUAAUACUAACCCUAAUUUUUGUAGGUUUGGCUAAUACUAACCCUAAUUUGUAGGAGUUUUUGUUACUUCCUUCAAAUAUAUUAGCAAGCAACAAAUUUUACUAUUGUUUAUCAGCUAUAUACCAAUUAAAUCAUAAACCCUAAAUCGCAUAUCUUCUCCGCCAUAUAUUUUUAUUUUCUGAUUUUUGCACAUUAUUUUUUCUCCUCUAAUCCUUUAUUUUAACAGCUAAUACUAACCCUAAUUUGUUAGGUUUCGCUAAUACUUUUGUAGAAGUUUUUGUUACUUUCCUCAAAUAUAUCAGCAAGCAACAAAUUUUACUACUAUUUAUCAGCUAUAUACCAAUCAAAUCCUAAACCCUAAUUCGCAUGUCUUCUCCUCCAUAUAUUUUUAUUUUCUGAUUUUUGCAUAUUAUUUUUCCUCCUUUGAUCCUUUAUUUUAACAGCUAAUAUUAACCCUAGUUUGUUAGGUUUCGCUAAUACUAACCCUAAUUUGUAGGAGUUUUUGUUACUUCCCUCAAACCCUAAUUUUUUUAGGUUUGGCUAAUACUAACCCUAAUUUGUAGGAGAUUUUGUUACUUCCCUCAAAUGACACUAUUGCAAGCUCUCUAUUGUUGUUAUAAAUUGAAUAAUGAGAUGGUUACAGUAGAGGUUUCAUUGUCAUUACAUAUUGAAGAAUUGAAUGAGAGUAAUUGGCAUGAGAAAAUAAAUUUAUUGUUUAUGUUGAAUUAUUUUCUUAUCUAUGUAAUGUAUCAUAUUGCAAUGUAUUAGUUUCUUCAUUGUUUAUGAUCCGGACGGUAGCAAGGAUAAAAGUUCUAGUAGGUUGAUUAAAUAUGUUUUGGAAGACCCCUUAAAAAAAAUAUGUUUUACGAUUUAUUAAAAUUUAUUUAAGAAGUCAUCAAAGAGUUUUUUUCUGUUUUCCCUUUUGUUAAAAAAAGUUUGUAACACAUUGUAAAAAAAACACAAUUAAUGUUCAAUUUAUCUUGUAACAAAAAAAUAAUAAUAAUAGCUUUAACUUACAAAGGUGAAGUAUAAUGCAGAUAGAGCUGUCAAAACAGACGGCCCGACCCUAAACGGGUCGGUCCUAAUGGGCUUCAGGCUUUAUCGGAUCGGGCAAAAAACCGGUUGAAAAACGAGCGCGGACUAACGGAUCGGUCCGUAUUAAAAAUUAUUAUUUUUUAUAUAAAAAAGUACUAUAGAAUACUUCUAUAAUUUUUUCGGUAAAUAAUAUUUUUAAUAUAUUUAAAUAAUGUCUAGCAUAAAAAUAAAUUGUAAACAUUUUCGCACACUAGUCGUAAACCAAUGCAAGCAUUCUAAAACUUGUCACCUAAAAGGUGCUAAUACAAUUCUAAGAUACAUUAGAGGCAUAAUUGAUUAUGGUGUGCUAAUGCCUAAUCAAAGAAAUGCCUAAUUCAGAUUCUGAUUGAGGAGGUGAUCAGGAUGUUAAGAAGAGUAUUGCAUGUUAUCUCUUCAUGAUUGGUGAUUUGCCAAAUCAAUUUUCAACUUGUUAUCGACAAGCAGUUUGGUUCUAUCAACUUCAAAUGCAUUCAGUUCUUCCAACAUCAUUUCAAUACAAUGAUGCAUAAAAACGGCAGGAAAACAAUUUUAAAUAAAUUAGAUACGUUAUGAUUAUAAAUAUUUAUAUAUUCGAUCUUUAAAAUUAUAAAUAACGAAACGAUUAUAUAUAAUUUUAUAUGACAUUUAUAUGUGUUAAUUCAUUGAAUUUUCACUUUUAUUUUUUACUUUGAUAAUCAACUAAGUAAAGAAUUAUUUGAAAAAUAUAUAUAAUUUAUAGGAUUUUUUUUGUUAUGCGGGCUACCCGCGGCCCCUAACGGGUACCGGGCUUUUUAGGGUCGGGCUAAAAAGCCCUAUUAAAAUUCGGGCUCAAUAUUUAAGGCCCAAGCCCUAUAAUUAAUCGGGCUGACCGGUACGGUCCAACCCAUUUUGACAGCUCUAAAUGCAGAUACCUUUUAUAUAAAAAUAAAAAAAAAACUUAAAAAGCAAGGUUAGAGACCUUUUUUUAAUAACCCUUUGAUUUUUAAGGAAAUAGGUGUAUCAUAAUUUAAAAUUUGGUUGUGAGAUCAAGUGGCGGAGCCAUCAAUUUUGAGUAGUGGGGACGCUAAUUCACACCCACCUAAAAACACUAUGAUGUAAAUUAACAAGCUACAUCUACUUUAAAACACAAAGGUGUAGAUUAGCAAGCUACACCUACCUAAAACAAUAAUGUGUUAGUUAGCAACAUACACCCAGUUGGUUAUAUACACUUAUUUUUAUAAAUUUUAUCAAAUUGUUUAAACUCAUCUUACUAAUUUACACCCACUUUCAUCAUUCUAAGUAUUGUUUCAUUAAAAGUUUGUCUCUAUUAUAUGUUUUGUACUUUAAGCAUGUCGCAGUCUUUUUUUAAGGAUUUUUCUUAAGAUGGUUACAAAAUUGUCAUUCUAAUUAAAUUUAAUUAGAAUAGAAACAAAAUGGUGUUUUAAUAAAAUAUAAGUGGGUGUAGCUUGCUAAUUUACAAAUUCGUGUUUAGGUGGGUGUGAAUUAACAGCCCCUUAUAUAUAUAUAUAUAUAUAUAUAUAUAUAUAUAUAUAUAUAUAUAUAUAUAUCGGGGGCAUAUCAAGUGAGAAUGGAUAUGUUAUGUGAGAAUGAUAUGAAUUAUUGUCAGCCCUUAGAUUAGUUUGGACGGUGGAGAUUAAAAACUUUAAUUUAAGGAACACAUGUGUAUCCUCUCAUGGUAUUAUUUUUCCAUUACUCAUUCAUCUUCAUCACUGUCCCCUCAUCUGCAAAAGAAUGUUGUCUUGCUGCCUCACUAUCGCCGUUGUUCACUCCCACGUCGCCAUCUCUGUGAAACUUGUACCUCGCCGUUUCUCUUCAUGACCGUUGUCUCUCUUUCCACCGUGAGUCGAGAUCUGGAGAUGGCAUCAAGAACAACGUCGACGGAAUAGGAUAGGUGAGGCGGCGAGGCAAGAGUAGAUCAUGUUUUCACGUUACUCUUUGGGUUUUUUUCGUUUGAUUUUGUUCUGCUUUGUUACAGAGCUUUGAUUUGUUUCUGAAUUAUAAAAAUGGCCUUCAAAAAACAAAACCAGUCAAUAGAGCUUGAUGAAAAUUGCAGAUAACAACCUUAAAAAAAAAAAAAAAAAAAAAAUCAGAUCAGCGAUAACGAUGAAUCGGUAGUGGAUGAAUAAUACAUUAAGGUGAUGCACACGUGCUCUUUAAGUUAAAGAUUUUAAUCUCCACCAUCCAAACUAAUCUAAGGGUCGACAAUUAUUCUUAUCAUUCUCACAUAACAUUCAUUCUCACUUAAUAUGCCCCCUAUAUAAUAUAUAUAUAUAUAUAAACUUAUCUUCAAAACAUAGUGGGGGCACAAGCCCACAAAGAGCUUAACAUAGCUCUACCACUAGUGAGAUCAGUAUAGUCUAACUAAUAACGUUAUUAUACUAUAAAUGCGUUCUCCAUAACGGUUAAUAUUUUGUUGGCAUUAAUAUUAUAAAAUCUCUAAUAAUAUUCUUUGUAUUAGAAUAUCUUAAGUUAUACUCGAGCGUUUAGAUGAGAUUUGUCUUAUAAAUUAACUAAUGUUUUUGUUUGAAUUCAACUUUGGGUGCAUCGUCACUAAAACUCUUAUAGAGUAUGCCGUCUCAUUUGAAUUCCACAAGACUCGAUAGAUUAGUUUUCACAUUUGCGCGCAGAAGAUACUUGAUUUACGAGAAGAAGAAAAAAUAUCUUAAGUUAUUUCUUACCACAAUUUAUUAUUUUAGAAUAUCUCUUAGGAUUAUAUUUGAUAUUACUUUUUUUCUUUUUCUUUUUUCAAGAAAAGCUACUAUUUAUUAUUUAUUCCUUUUUUCUCUAAAAAAAAUAUAUCUAUUCCCUUUUUAUUCUUAUAACUUGUUCUUAAUUUAUGAUUGAUUCUAUGUAUCACAGUAAAUAAUAUUUAUUAUUUAAUACUUUAUAUUGUAUUAUUAAUAACAUUUAAGAUUCUCCGGUCAAAAAGUAUAUUCAGGAUUCUAUUCUCUCUAUAUAUUUUUUUCUAAUAAAAAAUUUAAGACGAGUGAAUAAUGCAAUAUUUAUAAAACAAAUCUACAUUUAUCUUCUCUUAAAGACAUUAAUUAAUGAGACUUAAACACGAGACCUUUCAAUUCAACAACUUCAAUAAAAAGAACAAGACAUAUAACUUUUUUUUUGGUCAAGGACAAGAUAUAUAACUUUACUAGUGAAAUAUAUUUCAAUAUAUGCAAAUAAAGUUUUUGUUAAAGGAAAAAUAAAAGUUAUGAGUAAAAAAAUAAUCAGAAGUUAUAGUAAAGUGGGAAUGGGAUAAUCAAACUUUGUUGAAACUUAUCUUUUGGCACAUGUUAUACUUCGAGUAUGUUUUAACUUUUAAUGACAAAUUUUGUAAAAAGAAAAAACUUUAAGGUUUUGUUUGGGAGUUUGGAGGGGAGGGGGGAGGGGAGGGUUUUGAAAAAAAAGAAGGAGCAAGUGAAGAAAUAAAAAACAUUGGGAUGAGAGGGCUUUGGAUGUUAAUUUUUUACUCAUAAUCCUCUCAUUUGGGGAACUUAAAAAUUAUAUUUGGGGAGGGUUUUGGGGGGUUAUGAAGGGUUUAUAUGAAUUUUUCAAAUUCAAUAUAUGUUGUUAUAAUAUUCUUAAAAUUAAAAGUAUAUUAAUCAUAAGUAUUAGUUUAUCAUUCUCUAAAAAACUGUUCUUUUAAAAAAAUGUGAAUUUUUUGUCUAUUUUCUAUAUAUUUCCAACCCUCCAAAGCCUUCCCCUUCCUUCCCCUCCAAACUCCCAAACAAAACCUUAAGGUCAAAUUGUUAGCUUAUAACAAAAAGUUUAUUUCCUUAAAAUGAGAAAAAAUACAAAUAGUUUCUUUUUGAAGCAAAAGAUAAAAAAGACAAAUAGUUUGUCAAUCCAAUAUUAAUAGAUUCAUAUUAAACUUGUACCUUUUAUAAUAAAUAUAUUUUAAAAAUUUUAAAAAUAAAUUAAAAUGAUAUUUAAUUUUAUCUUCUCUUUUUAAAAUAAUUUCAAUGAUAAUACAUAAUAUUUAUUGAUAUGCAAUUGGUAAUAUGAGCUUUACAAUUACUAUCAUCAUUAGGUAUGAAUUAAUUUUGGUCAAAUAGGAUAGAAUCUUUGUAGUAUUUUACAUGACGUAACAUGUGAUCUAAGGUAUACAAAUGUUUAACAAAAAGCACACACGAUAAGAAAAUGAAGAGGUGUAAACUAUAUGAUGAUGAAAGAAUCCUUUACCUUACCGCUAUUAACAUUUUAGAUGCGAAAAAAAUGUAUCAACAUAUUCGGUUGUUUCACCACGUGUCUCACACCAUUGAACAUAUUUCACCGUUACAUUUACUUACACACACACACACUCUCUCUCUUAUCCCAAUAAUAAAUAAAUAAAAUUAGAUAUAUUAAUUAAUAAUAUUAAAUAAAAUUGUCCUAUAGUUUCUCUCUAUCUAACACAUAUUUUCCGCGAACUCGAUCGGCAUCGGCAGAACCCACUCGAGGGGGAAGAAAAGAAAAAGAAAAACCCACCACGACACCAAUUCCCUCCGAUUUUUCCUUCUCUUUUCUUAACCACAUAUUUUCCCUUCUCAUUCGCUUUUCCCAUUUCCUUCUCAUUUCCAUCGCCCAAUUAAUCAUCAAUUAAUUAAUUAUUCAAUUAGGGUUUCGAUUCUUCAAUUCCUUCCUCAUUCUCUUAUCGCUCUUAUCAAUUCUUUCAUUCCUCAUAUCCUUUCUUUGAUCCUUUAUCAUCAUCCUUUCAUUCCCAGUAGAAAAUAAAACACCAAAAAAAAAGAGAAAGAUUCUAUUUUUCUUCAUCCUAUUCGAUUUUAGCUGUUUUUAUUUUUAAUUCUUGUUUAUUGUUUGUUAUUAUAAUUUGGUUCUUAAGAUUCAAGAAACUCUGUGAAGUUUUUGGUGCGUUGUUUUAGUUUGCUAUCAAUAAUCGAGGGUUUUCUUGUUAGAUCUAUUCCACUUCUUUCUUUCUUUUUUUCUCCAUUUUUAUUUUCUUUUUCUUUUUCCUUGUUAGAAUCUAAAAAAGAAAAGAAAAAAAGAAAAAUUGUUGGUUUGAUCGGAAUUGAUCAAAUUCACCUCCCCCAAAAAUUAGGGUUUGUUGUGGCUGAUUGAUUUGGUUAGGGUUUGUUGUAUAUAGAUAGAAACAAAGAGGAAAUUUAUGCGAUGGCAUUGAAUUUCUCUCAUCGACCGAUAUUUUCGGCUGGUUUGUCUGAGGAUAAUUUGAGAAUGGGAAAUGGGUAUAGAGUGGAAGGUAUUUCUGAGACUGGUGGUGGUGGUGGUGGUAGUGGUAGUAGUGGGGAUGGAUUUGGGAAUGGGUGGCAUAAUGUUGAUAAUUGUUUUGAUUAUGGUGGUAGUGAUAGAUGUGAUAGAGGGGGUGGUGUAAGUGGUGCUACUCAGGAUUCUGUUUCGAAGGAUAUUCUUGAUCUUUUGCCUUCGGAUCCUUUUGGUAUGGAUAUCAGUACGACGUUCACAGCCAUCACUGGAUGGCUGGAGGAUUUGGAUUUUGAUUAUGGUGGAUAUCAUGUAAAUGAUGAGAUUGGGACAAGUGGUGAGAAUUACCCUUUGUUUGCUGGGUUGAAUUUCAUUUGGAAUAAUGCUGUUAGGUUCCACACUUUUCCUCAAGGGGGAAAUGUGUGCAUUGAAGAGAAGGAUUUUCGCGGGGUGAGUGGAUUCAGUGAGUUUUCUCGUAGAGAAGCUGGAGAAGUAUCCUGCAGCGAGAAAAUUUUUCAUGGGGUGAGGGGAUUUGGUGAGUUUUCUCGGAGAGAAGUUGGAGAGGCUUCAUGCAUCAAGAAGAAUUUUCAAGGGAUGAGUGGAUUUGGUGAAUUUUCCAGGAGAGAAGUUGGAGAAGCAUCCUGCAGCUUUGGGGCUGGAUCUUCUUGUGACAUGGAUGCCGUUUUAGAUUUUAGAUGUGAUUAUAAAGAUGUGGCUAUUGCUAACGUGUCAGGUGACACGGACAUGGAUGAUGUGAAUUUCCUUGAAGGAGAUGAGCGCAUUCUUCAUUCAGUUAUAAAUUCGUCUCUUAGGUAUCUGGGUUUGUCUGAUCUUCUUGUUCUUGAGAGAGUAUGUAAAUCUCUGCAUUCUACUGUUCGUGAUCCGCAAAUGUGGACAAGUAUCCACAUUGACCAGCCUUUAAAUGAAAGAAUCACUGACGACAUUCUUUUGGAAUUAACCAAUAGGGCUCAAGGUCUUCUUCAGUGUCUGAGCCUGGUGGAGUGCACUAGGAUAACCGAUGAUGGUCUGAGGCGUGUUCUUGAAGUCAAUCCCAAAUUAAGCAAGGUGAGCAUGCAUUAGCUUAUUAUACUUUAUCAUUCUGGAUUUAAAAUGAAGCAUGUAUUGUGGAAUUGUAUACAACUAUAUAGUAUUUAAUAUGGUACUACCGUUGCUUUAUUUUUAUUAAGUGGUGAAUAAGUGAAUUGGAGACAGAAUUAGUUUAAACACUGUUGAUUCUUUUUAAAACUUAGAAGUCAGCAGAUCCUGUUUUGAGCAUUUGUCCUUUGCAUCAUCUCUGCUUUUAGUUUUUUCUUUAUUAUAGAAGUUGAUUUAAGGUUAUUCUAGAUUUUGCUCUAGGAUAUUAUCAUUUGUUGGUUGAGACGCAUGCCGAUUUAUUUGUAGGAAGUUGUUGAUUCUUAUCCAAAAUGAUUAAAUGAGCAUAUCCUUCUCUGCAAUUGUGUAUUUCUGUUGCUGUUUGUUUUCCAACAUGCAUUAGUAAGAAAUGCACCAUAUUUAUCUCAUUGUAGCUUUAGGUAUUAAAUACCUAUUUGAAGAGAAGGUCUGAAAGAAAAAUAGAUUGUGGACCAAGCAGUUGAGGCACAUUAUAACUGUUCCAACUGUCAACUUUGAUUCAGGCAAAAUUUUUUACUGGCCAGAUGCGUUUGGGUUAAAUGAUUCUUUUACAUUUGAUAGAUCCUGGCACUUUGAAAUAAAUUUACGUAUAUUAUUGGUAGUUUCAUAUGUAAUGUGAUUUAAUGUUGGUACACUUGGUAAUUACUGACAUUGUCUAACUGUUAUUGUAUUCACUUCUUUGAGCUUUGAAUACUUUCAUUCUCAUUGUAAAUCCAGAGUUCUUCACAUCCAUAUCUUUUUGCAAAUAACGAUGUAAAUUUUUUCUUUGGUUAACCUUUGCAGUUGAGUGUUCCUGGAUGCACAAGACUUAGUAUUGAAGGUAUUGUGGGUAUGUUAAAAGCUUACAACUCUAUGGGUACACAGAAGGUGAAGCAUUUACACAUAGGUGGCCUUUAUGGCGUUACACAAAAGCAUUUUGAACAAAUAAAGCUCUUGUUGGGCACUGACAAGAAACGACUGGAGAAUGCUCUUGACAGUCAACCACAUGAGAAUGCUCGUGACAGUCAACCACAAGAGAAUGCUCCUGACAGUCAACUACUAGAGCAUUCUCACAAACCGCACUUCUAUUGCCGCUGGAACUUGUAUCUGCCCUGCGAUGAUGAUCGGGACCUGGAUAUUGAAGUUUGUCCUCGAUGUCAGAAUUUAAGGCUUGUAUAUGAUUGUCCUGCAGAAGGCUGUCAAGGAGUUGGUGGGCAUGCCACUCAGUUGUGCAGGGCUUGCACACUCUGCAUACCACGAUGUAGUCAGUGUGGCCGCUGCAUCAAUGACAGCGAGUACGAAGAAACAUUUUGUCUGGAAUUGCUUUGCUCUCAUUGUUCUCAGCAUUUGGUCAAACCGUUAGAAGGGACAGUUGGAAAGAUUGCAUUAGUCAGCUCAGUUCUCCCCGAACAAAGUUAGGGCAUGUGUUGUGUCGUACAUUAUCAUACCAAAGAAGUCUUUUAUGAGGAAUUGUCCCCUUUUGAAGUCAUAGAAAUGCUAGGUGCUGCUUGACUUGUUUGGCAUUCUUUGUAUUUGGUGGGAAUCUUCCUGUUGUAGAGAAGUUGGAAAUUGAUCUCGACUUUGUUUCUCUGCUGCUACUUGAGUAACCUGCAGGAGCCGAAUCAAUUGCUGUGAUUAUGAAUUGCCUACUGCAUAGUUGCACUGUGAUCAUCGGGGCUGCAGCUGGAGUGACAUGCUUUGCAAUGAAACCUUUCAUUGGGUCACUUUCAGAUAAUAUUUGUGAUAUAGUUCUACUGCUUUACCAGUUUGAAUGAUCUGAUUUCUGGACUUAAGGUCACUUCAAUAACUGCACUGGUAAUUCACUGUUUCCGUGUUGGAGUCCAUGUAACCUGUUUAUUCUUGUUCCCAUCUUUGGAUAAGACAAAAAAAAAAAAAAAAUAAGUGGAUAAUAUUGUGAUGUCUUUGGAUCUUCACGUGUGUUAUUUUAGCUUGUAUCAAGUGGAACUCAUUUUACUGUGGAUCAUAAAAUGAUUAUCUUGGGAUUUUUUAGCGAAAUAAUUGUGUUGCAUAUUUAUAUCCUCUUGCAAAUUUGAAGAGGCUGAUUGUUGUUAUGUUGGCCUUAUGAUGUCUCUUCCAAAGAAAAGUAGUUAAAUUAUUUAAUAUUUUGAUCAUAAAUGUAAGUGUUGGUCAUCUUUAUUUAAAGGAAAAUGCUAAAAAGCAUGAAGGAAUUAUUUCAACAGGACAAACUAUAUUUUCAACCCACUAAUGUAUGGUCAAGCUGGCUACUCAUUGUUUGGUGAUCUAGCCUUGCAAUAAUAUGAGGUGAAGAACUUCCAUUGCAUUUGAUAUGUCAUGUCUGAUGUGUGCAUAAUAAAAUAAUUUAUUAUAGGAAAUAUGUAGUUUGGUGCAGUGUCACAAUGGUGGGUUUCAGCUAAUGUCUGCUACGGCAGUCAAUGUUACACGAAUGUCUUGGCAGCCAAGUUAAUUACUGUCCUACUAACAAAGUUAUUCUUCGUUGCUUGGUUAAAUUUAGGAAUAUGUUACUAUGCUUCAAGCAUGUGAAAACUAAUAGGAAGCUCUUGAAAAGCAAGUUGCUUUCUGUUGCCUGAGGUAAUGGAGAAACUAAGGCAUAAGUAACAUAGAUGAAAUGGUAUGGUCAAAGUCAUCCAAAACCCACAGAUUACGCUUUCGUUGCCUUGCCUUGUUUGUUUGAUUGUAGGCUUUUCGGAUGAUGCAAUAUACUUGACACCAAGGAACGCUCAUAAGAUGGUUUAAUUAAAAUUAGUUAUUGAAGUGGCGGGUAAGUAUAAAAUGACAUGUUUAUAUAUAUAUAUAAUUUUUUUUAAUAUAUUUAAUUUUUAAUAUUUUAAUUUAUGGUUAACUAUGUUUUGGAUCCCUAUAAAUAUUUGAACUUUUGGUUUUAGUCUCCAAUAAAAUUUCACUGACAAUUUUGAUAUCUGCUUUUUUUUUACAAAAGAGGGCAAAAGCUCAUUGAUCUCUACUUUUAUGAAUCCCAAAAAUAAGAGGAAGGUGGAAAAAAAUGUAAGCAAGAAUAUAUAAAAUUUUACAACGUGCCGUAUGCUAGUUGUUAUAGUUAAAUAUAAAACAUUUCUUUUAAGAAGUAUAUAUAAAACGUUCAUUAAAAAAUAAAAUAAAGCAUGAUAGUUUUUUUUCAAAAGAGAAAACGUGGAAGUUGUUUUUAUUAAAAAAUAAGCUAUGAACUUGACCUUAUUUUUUAACCCAUAAACAUGUUGUUUUAUUAAAAAAUAAUUAAAUUAAUAUCUCCAAAAGUUGUUUAUUCAAUCAAAGAAUGUGAUGAAUUAUGUUAAUUUCAAUCAAUAUCUAAUUUCAUUCAAUUAAUUUACAAUAGAAUUCAACUUCCAAUAGUGAUAUUAUUAGGCUAGACAUCUUCGUCUUAGUUUGAAUUUGAAAUCUCACAAUUAUGUUCAUGAAUUUUAAUGGUGCUUCACUUUCUCUCCCAAACCAUUCGUUUUGAACCAAAGCUAAAUAGUAUAUAUUAUUAAUUAAAUAUAAAAAUAUUAUAAAUUAUUUAAAAAUAAUUAAAAAUCGGGGUAAUCAAAUCAACCUAUCAUUUCCUCAAAAAAAAUAAAUAAUCUACCUUAUCAUUGGGAGUAAGGCUAUGCCCUUGGCCUCGUCACACACUUAACCAAAUCAUAAUUUGCAACCAAUACAAUUCAAGACCUGUAUUCUCUGAAAUGCAAUACAGAGAGACAUUCAUUUACUAUAAAUGACCAAAACUCAAUGAAAAAAAUAUGAUUAUAACCAAAACGAUCAAUGCAAGAUCGAAGUCUCUACUCAACUACACUGCCACUCUCAACUUGAAGAACAUUUCAUCUGAAAAAAGAAAGAAACAACUAAUUAAUAAUUACAUUCACACACACACAGGUGCACUAAAUUAAUUAAGAAUAUAAUUCAGUGUUGGAGGACAUGCAGACCUUUGUCCAUAUAAUUAACAAGUGAAGGCAAAUGCAUAAUCAAUGUUUUUCCAUUUGUUAAUUAUAAUUUAUAAACGACUAAUGCUAUACUCCCUCCGUCCCAAAUUGUAUGUCGCCUUAGGGAAAAAAUUUGUCCCAAAUUAUAUGUCGCUUUACAAUACCAAUACAACAUUAAUGUUACUUUUCCUAUUAUAACCUUAAUUAUUUAUUACUCUCUCUUCUUUCAAUUCUUUCAUUUCUCUUUUCCAUAUUAUUUAUUAAGGAUAAUUUUGUAAAACAACUCAUAAUAUCUCUUUUCCACACAAUAUUAAUUGCAUUUCUUAAUAUAUGUGAAAUGCCCAAAACGUCAUACAAUUUGGGACGGAGGGAGUAUCAUUUAUCAUUUCUAUUCAUUCCUUCUUCCUUUUCUUUUUUUCGUAGAAUCUAUUUAUUCGUUCUAUAACAAUCAAUUUGGUCAACCUUAAAUAUUUAAAACCAUGGCUCCCACACUACCUUAAUUCUGUCAAAAUAUUUUUUCACACGCAAAGCCAAAUUUAUUUCAUUCACUGUAAUUUAAGGUAAUCAUAAGUUCUAUAAAUUGAAAUUUCUAUGGAACCAAUUUUAUUCCAUGCAAAACAAUUACUAGUAUAUAUCAAUAAGAAGAAAACAAAAAUACUCAUUCAUAAAUUCAUAUCACUAUGGCAAAAACCAUUGCUUCACUUGUUCUAGUUUUCCUAGUUGUUGCAAUGCUGAAUGGCUAUGGUGCUGAGGGUGCAGGAAGAGAUAACCAACAUAAGAAAGAUGAUGGUGUUUAUAAAUAUCAAAAGAACACGCUUGCGUGUGUGCUUAUGUGUAAGAUGUGUGAUUUUGGUUAUCGUCCCUCUUGUGAUGAGUACGAUAGGUUCUGUACUCCUUAUGGGUUGUGUAUUCCUCAGUCUCCUCCUACUUAUAAUGCUGAUGUCCAAACAACCCCAGCUCAAAGUGGUUAUUCUGAAGUUCAAAACCCAAAUCCAUGAUCAGAGACUGUUUUCAUGCAUGGUUUGUGUUAAUGACAUCCAUAUACUAUUAUAUAAUUAUAUAAUGUUGUGUGAGAGUAUAUUAUAAUAUAAGAAUUAUAUAUAGAUAAAUAAUUAAUCACGUUUAUGUGCUAAAUAUACGAGUCUUGAGUUAUGUGUUAUUGAUUCCUCUUCUUUGAUGUUAGUUGAGGAACACACACACACACACACAUAUAUAUAUAUAUAUAUUGUAUUAUGGUGCCAUCUAUGUUAUAUGGAAUGGAAUAUUGAAAUAAAAUUAAUUUCUCUGGUUUACUUUCUUAAGAUCAAGGGGUAGUCUUGGAACAUCACAUUUAACAUAUCCCCGAUUUGUUUGUUAAAAGAUUUUCAAUAAUUGUUAUAUAGUCUACAAAUUGGUAGGAAAAGAAAAAAACUAAAUUAAUGCAGAAAUUUUAACCCACCCCAGCAGUAUUCUGCACUGUGGAGGUUUCAGUUCACACCUCAUGCAUUUGUUUAUAAAAGAGCAUGGGAGAAAAUCCUCUGAAAAUUUAUGGAUUUUAUUCUUUACUAAUUGAAUUAAUUUUAAAUGUGCCUACCUUAUCUCAAAGACUAUGUUGGGUUAAAUGUAUGUUUACUUCAAUGUUGCAAUGCAAACUCUUUACAACUUUAAUGAGUCUCAAUUUGGGUUGCUUAGUUAAGUUGACCUCAUCAACUUUCCCCUUUAUAAACACAAUUUUAUUUCUAAAUAAUGAUAAGAACCAAAUACCAUGAUAUCACAAAAUCUCCUUUUUCACCUUGAAUGUCAUGUAGAAGUAGAAGUGUAGAACACUAUUUUUUUCACCAACUGCUCUUAACAAAUUCUGAUACUGUGAUAUUUUGUUUAUCUAUACAACAAGCCAUUGUGAUUCUUGUUUGGCAUGUGCUUGUAUAAAGUUAUAAAUCAAGAAACUUGUGUGAUCCUUGUAAAUUUCCACAACAAACUAAAGAUGGUGGGAUUUAUUUUAUUCAACUAAUAAGUUUUAGUUCUUAAUCUUUAAGAGCCAAAAUCAAUGUUAUUGUUAACGAUGAUAAUGCUCAUCAUUUGUGAGUUUUCUUAUAAUGUUGGGAUGGAGAUAUCAAUGUUAUUCUAGAAACACAGAAUUCUAUGGAGCUUGAAAUGCUUUAACCUCCAAAAAUGAUUCUAACUGAAACUACAGUUUAGAACUCUUGCCUUAGAAUUGAUUCAACUCAACUUCUAUACAAACACAAUAAAUCAUUUAAGCUUCAACUCAAUUUAAACCCACUUUGUGGAUGGAGUAUUUACACGUUUUAACUUUCUAUGCUAACAAUAACAACUUGACCAGUCUUCUUGAAAGAUAUUCUUCAUUAAAAGUAUAACUUGUUUCUAAGAUACAAGAAUGCCAAAGGCAGUGCAGAAAAUUAGAACCAGAUUAAAAAAUUGAAUCAAUCCAAUUGCUCAACUUACAAGUUACAACAUGUAGACUAGAAUCAUGUAAAAAAUUCAACAUGACCUGCAAUUUCUCUGCAUAAUAGCUUUGAUUCACUAGCUAACUUGAUACUUUUCGCAAUUGCUAAUCCAGUCAAUUUAUGUGUAGAUGCAGGCUUAUAAGACUCUACCUGCUCUUCACACCCUAACAACAAAGCUUCCCUUGCCGGAAUCACGUUUUCCCACCAAAACUCUCUAAGAAUCCCAUGUAUUAUAUCCCAAUAUUCACGACUCCUGACGACACGAAAUAUAGUGCUUCCAUUCGGCGUCCAACAAUACAAAUCAACCCAUUCAAAAUCCAUAAUCUCCAUUUGACCCUGAACUUGAGGCAUGUAAUAGAAUGGCAUGGUUUUCCAUGGCAAACCUGUCUCAGGCUUACCCUUAUUAUAAGGACACUUAACUUCCAAUAUUCCGGUACCAAGAACACCGUCAGGCGACGCACCAAGCCAAUCAUAAGACUUCUUCGAAUGAACUGCAAACCCCAUCGAAGUCACUUCCCUCCCGGUAAUUUUCGUAUAGUUUUCAACAGCUACCGCCUCAUUCAGCACUCCCCAAUUCAUAGCAUUUCUUUGAACAGAUUCGACAAUUUGGGUAUCUGAUGCAAAUACUUUAUCAUGCCACAGCUCAGCACGGCGACUACCUUUCCAAAACCCUAAUGCAGUACUAAACGUGCUCGUUGUUAGUCUGUCCUUACGAAGGGCAAACCAUUCUUCUGAACGUUGCGGAACAUCGGCCGGUGCCGGUGAAGCAAAUGCUGUAAAUGAUGGAGGCUUAAUAAUCAAAGUUGUUGUUGAUGAUGUUGGUGAGGUAGUAGUGCAUAUGGAUAGAUUUCUAAAAUGAUCAUUUCCAUAUUUAAUUCUCGUAGGAAAUACUUUCUGAAGAAUGCCACUGAAUCUAAUCAAGCUGGAGUUGGUAGUUGCGGAUGAAAUCCUCAUAUCCAUUCAAAACUAGCACAACUAUUUUUAUAACACAAUACAAAAUGAAGUUAAAUUAUUUUCCUAUAAGCUAUAAGCUAUUUCCAUAUGUUUAUGUUAUCAUAAGUUGUCAACGGAUAAGCUCAAAAUAAGUCGAUUCAAACAUAGCUUUAGGAAAUUAGUAUGUAACAUGAGAUAACAUUUGUUGAAAUUAACGAUGCAAUUAAAAGAUGAACAGAGGAAAACCUUGUCUUGUUAAAUGUGAAAUAUUAAAAUAAAAUGAAAGAGGAAAACCUGGAAGAAUUUUUUUCACUGUUUCCGGCGGAAGAGAACCAGCUCCGUCCACGUUAUCCGGCAGGUUGAGUUCGGCGCGCCUCCAAUCCAACUAGAAGUGCAGAGAGACAGCUAAGAUGGGUUUCUUCAAAAUGAAGUGGAUUGGGGUUGGGGUUUAGAAUGUUUUUUUUUUUUUUUGAAGGAAUUUUUUAUUCUUAAAAUCCCAAAUAAAUAUAAGUAGCUUUUUAUUAUCUCUUUUUGUAUUAUAUCAAACAUAUAUAAAGUAGGGGUCGGGAUGCUUCGGUUAACCUAAAAAACCGAAUCGAACCGAAUGGAAAUUUUGAAAUGGUUCGAAAAAACCGAACCGUUUCAGGCAUGGAGCUAAUCGAACUGAACCAAAGUUAUAGUUCGGUUAACCGUUUUCUUACCUAUAAACCGAACCGAACCAAAACCAAUAUUUUGAACAAAAAUGUAUUUUUUUUUAUCCUUUUGUGGAUUUAAUUGUGUUUUUUUUAUCCAAAAGGAAAAAUAUUGUUUUAUUUACUUUUUUUUUUAAGAAUAUAAUUUUUUUAUCAAUAUUAUUAUUACACAAACCCAGUAAAAUAAUAAAUUUAAUGCAAAAUAUAUUAAGAAAUAAAAAUUCCAGUAUGAAAAUUAUUAUCUAUUAUUUUUUGAAAGAUAUGAAGUAAUAAUAAUAUAGCUUAAAUUAAUAUAAUAUAUAAGAUUAAACACGGUAAAAAAAAUAUAUAUUAAUAUUUACUUUCGCGGUUAGUUUGCUUCGGAUUUGAAAGAAUUUACUACGAUCUCUUUUUAAAAAUAGCUUACUCAAAACCGCUUAUUUUAUGCAAAACACCUUAUUUUAAAAAAUAGCUUAUUCAAAACAGCUUAUUUUAUGAAAAUACCUUAUUUUAAUAAAAAAAAACAGCUUAUUCAAAACAGCUUAUUUGAUAAACAACUUAUUUUCUGAAAAACAACUUCUUUUAAAAAACAACUUAUUUUUGAAAACAGCUUAUUCAAAACAGCUUCUUUUAUGAAAAACAGCUUAUUCAAAAAAGCUUAUUUUAUUAAAAAUAGCUUGUUACGAUCUCUUUUAAAAAUAACUUAUUUUAUGCAAAACAACUUAUUCAAAGCAGCUUAUUUUAUGCAAAAAAAACUUAUUUUAAAAAAUUGCUUAUUUUAUGCAAAACACCUUAUUUUAAAAAACAGCUUAUUCAAACAGCUUAUUUUUAUGACAACAACUUAUUUUAAAACAGCUUAUUUUAUUUAAAACAACAUAUUUUAUUCAAAACAUGUUUUGAAUAAGUUUUUUUUUGAAAAUAAGCUGUUUUGAAUAAGGUGUUUUUCAUAAAUAAGUUGUUUUUCAAAUAAGCAUUUUUUUUAAAAAUAAGUUGUUUUGAAUAAGUUGUUUUUUAAAAUAAGGUGUUUUGCAUAAAAUAAGCUGUUUUGAAUAAGUAUUUUUUUUUUAAAAAAAAUAUGCUAUUUUGCAUAAAAUAAGCUGUUUUUUUUAAAAUAAGUUGUUUUAAUAAAAUAAGUUGUUUUUAAAAUAAGGUGUUUUGCAUAAAAAAAGCUUUUUGAAAUAAGCUAUUUUAAAUAAGUUGUUUUUUUUGGAAAGAUCCAACAAAGAGUUCAAGUGGUUUCCUUAAAAAAAAAACAGUUCAAGUGGUUUGGUUCGGUUCGGUUCAAGAUGGUUCGGUUAUGAUUUAAGAACUGUUAAUAAAUUAACGGUUCAGUUCGUGAACCAUUAUAAUAGUUCGGUUAUUUUUGGUUCGGUUCGGUUCGGUUCAUGGUUCUUUUUGUCCACCCUAUAUAUAAGUUUUUUUUUGUUUUGUUAACAUAAUAUAAUAUUGGUACGAAGUUUCUACCGCCGCUUGACUGUGACUAAUCUCUAUCAUGAAAUUGUGAGAUACGCAAGGUAAAUUUUCACCUCCCAAUCAUUUUUUCAUACGCAAAAGCCAAAAAUUGAACAUCUAACCAAAUGAUUAAAAAUCCUAAAUCUCUCACGAGUCACCACUUAGACCAAUUUAUUGUUGAUAUAUAAGAAUUUUUUUUUUUUUGUCAAUUAGACUAGCGGUUAGAAAGUUCACAUUUUAAGAUGAAUAAGCGAUGAGCCUAGGGCAUAAUUCGAACUCCGAGAUUUGCAUAUUACAUUAUAUUAUCCUUACCAAUUGAGCAAUGCUCACUGAACUAAAAAGGCUGAAAACGGAAUUAGUUUUGUCCAUUAAAAAAACUAUAAAGGCUAAAAGCAAAACUUUUGAAUUCAAAGGAACAUAUAAGCACAAAAAAUGAAUUUUUUUUUUCUGCCCUUGUUUGUGUCCAAAAAUACAAAAAUGCCCCACUUUUGCAAAAAAUUGCACAAAUGCCCUACUUUUUCAGUUUUUCUGGUACCUUGCAACCCCCACUUGCGGGGUACCUUUAAAAAAAUUUUAAAAAAUUUUAAUUACCCCGCAAGUCAAAUUGGCGUGGUAUUUUAUGAUUUUUUUUUUUUAAAUUUUAUUACAUUGCAACCCCCACUUGCGGGGUAUAAUUUAAAAUUUUAAAAAAAAAAAAUUCAUAAAAUACCACGCCAAUUUGACUUGCGGGGUAAUUAAAAUUUUUUAAAGGUACCUCGCAAGUGGGAGUUGCAAGGUACCAGAAAAACUGAAAAAGUAGGGCAUUUGUGCAAUUUUUUGCAAAAAUGGGGCAUUUUUGUAUUUUUGGGGGCAGAAAAAAAAAAUCACAAAAAAUGAGGGGUUGAAGCCAAAAAAUAUUAUAAUUUUAAGGACUAAAAUUAUAUUUCAAUCAUAUGCUUAAACACUUGCGUUUAGAAUUGAGGGAGUACUAAUUAAUGUUUCAUUUUCAAAGUGAAAUUGCAAUUUUCUUCAACUAUUUAUUGUUAGAGAAUUGCUCUUCGUCUAUUAGUUUUUGAUCAUUAUCAUCCUAUGUGAGUUAACUCACAUUGAAAAAUAUAUCUGCGUAAGUUAACUCACGUUAAAAAUACAUCUGCGUAAGUUAACUUAAGCUCGGCUAUUUGAUAGAAAUGAACAAAAACAGAUGGAUGAAGAGCAAUUAUCUUAUUGUUAUAAAUGUACCGAAGCCCAAAGUAAAUAAAACUACAAGUUUAGGCCCAUGAAUCAAGCUCCACAUUUAUUUCAUAUUAUAUUUUGAGAUUUUAUUUUCCACCCUAUAAACAUCUCACAUGCCUUUAAAAUUUAUCUUUUUAUUUAGUUUAGAUUAUACAAUUCGAAGAAUUUAUGAUAUUUUUUAAAUUAUAAAAUCCGAACUUUGUUUACUCUGUUUUGUUCAUAUUCAAGGCAAAUUAUUUAUACGGUACUCACGUGAUUUGAAAUCAAUAUGAAAUUUAAUCAAUCAAAAAGAGUAUGUUGAAAAAUCCAUGUUAAAAUAUGUGUUAAUAGCAUUCAUCUUUUUGACAUUUUUAUUUGAUUUUUUAACCUUUCAUUCAACUCGGUUCAAUUAUGGUUGAAAGGACUAAACAUUCAUACAUAGGUUUCAGUAGUUCGACAUCAAGUACAGUUCCAAAACAUAGCACAUGAAGUUCGUAGAAACUAGCCACCAGAAGCUAGAAUAGACUUACAAAAAAAGGGUACAUUGGAUAUGGAGAUUUUCUGAGCUUAUGUUUUACGGUGGGGUUUAGCAUGGUAAAAGGAAAUUGUUUUCGAUCAUGAAAAAGUAUUUUUUGAUCAUUAGAUUAAUUGAAUAACAUAAUUUAAUAGAAGACUAUCAACAUAAUCUAAUAGUGGGGAUGGAGGGAGGAGAGAUAAUGGUGGUGAAAUAGAGUAUGAAAAAAAAUCUAGUGUUGAUAGUCUAUUAUUAGAUUAUGUUCUUCAAUUAAUCUAAGAGUAAAUUACACUCCACUCCUAUCAAAGAUGCUUGAAUUACACUCCCCUCCCCUUUAUGUUAAAAUAUACAUUUCCCUCCCUUGAAAAGUAAAAUUUAUACUCCCCUUCCCUAUAAGAUGCUUGAAUUACAUCUCUCCCCCCCCUCCUUAAUAAUUGAAUAUGGACUACAAUUUAAUCUACUUUAACAUAAAUAAAUAUUUUUAUAAUAUAUUUUAAUUUUGAAAUACCAUUUAAAAAAUAUAAAUUCGUUUAUUUAUAAUCUAAAUGUCAACGACAAUUAAAUUUAAAUAUUUUGUUAUUAAUUUUAUAAUUUAGAGUAUAAAAUUCACUUUUAAAUAACCAUACUUAAUCGACUUUAGUAAUUUUAUAAAUAGUUUAAUUUUAUUUUGGGUUGUUUCAUAUUUUAUAAUAGGCUUUAAAACUAUGUUAAUGAAAUUGUGAAUAAAAAAUAGAGAAAGAUAUGUAUUCAAAAUUUGAUUAUAUUAAAAUGAAUCCGCAAUGCUAUUUUUCUUUGAAGUGUGUUAGAUUAUUUUUUUGCUAGAUUUUUAGAAAUAAAAAAAACUAUUGAGGGACUAAAGCGUAGAUUUUAACUUAAGAGGGGAGGGGAAUGUAAUUCAAGCUUCUCUCAAGGGAGGGGAAUGAAAUAUUUUCUAAUAUGUUUUGAAUAAGAGGGGAGGAGAGUGUAUAUUUUAACAUAAGAGGGGAGGGUAAUUCAAGCAUCUUUGAGGGGAGGGGAGUGUAAUUUACUCUUAAUCUAAUGGCCAAAAAAUAUUUUUCCAUGAUGGAAAACAACUUCCCUUUUCCAUUCUAAACUCCACCAUGUUUUACGGUGGCAUUUAGGGUGGGUCAAUGGAAUACUUUCCCACCAUGACCCAAUUAGUAUUUAACCAUGAGAUCAACUAAAGAGUAUAGCUUUAUCAUAGACUCGCCACAUUGGAUAGUUUUUUCCACACUAUCUUCUACCUCCAUCUUCUCUCUCCUCCAUGUCCCCACUCAACCACCACCUGUAGCAAUCUCCAUUUCAGUUGUGUUUGAUUUCUCUACAACUACCAAAUGAUUUUCACAGCCAUACACAGAAAAUCAAAAGCUUCUUUCCAAUGUUGAUAUUAAUCACCCUAAACACAAUCAUCAUUUGAAAAAGCUAUUUAUGUUAAUGUUUGAGAAAAAGCUAUUUUCUGAAAUUGACUUUAUUCAUAUGUUUACGUUAAAAAAAGUGUUUUUGAUAUUUAUGUGGUAGAUGUUUAUGUAGUUUUGCUGUUUCUCGUGAGGUUGAAGAUGAUAUGAAAAAAUAUAUGAUGUGGGUAGACCGUCUUAAAAGUUGUGUGCGUCUUUAAUCUAUUGGUAAAAAAAAAAAACUUUCCUAUAAUGAAAAACUCUUUCCCCUACCUACCCUAAAUGCCACCAUGUUUUACUAUUCAAUCUUCAACUCCAUUGUGUCGACAUUAUGAUUAAUUUUCUGGCUGCAUUGCUUUUGAAUACAAUUCCACAGCCGAACAGGACAAAAACAUUUUUCUAUAUGAAGAACAAGAUCGGCAAUUUACAUGCACCCUUUCUUCCUCGAUUGUUCGUAUAUCAUCUAUCUCACGAUCAUUGUCAUCCAUAAACUUUGGAUUCUGCUUUUUAUUAUUCCUGGUUUGCUCUCCACGUGAAUGAGUUUUCUUAAUCCAUCAAAUGUCAAAGUCCAUCUAAGAUAAAUGUUUUCCUUGCUCGGGUAUAUGAUUUACCUUAUUUAAUGAAAUCAACCCCUUCUAAUUGUGCGGUGUCUUUAUAAUUUCACGUCUUAGUACAAUGUUUAUUUAAUUUAGAUAAAAAGAUUAAUUUUGAUCAAAUGCAUAUCCAAUAAAUAAUUUUGACGUCGUCAACGUAUCAAAUCCGAAAAGAAGCGAGUAGUCCGAAGAUAUUAAUAUAGUCAUAUUUAUGAAGACAUUAGUAGUUUGAAUAAACGAAUAUAUUUCAUAUUUAUAGGUAUAUGUACUUCGUCGUUUUAUGCUAUUAACAUAAAUAUUGUGAGUUUGUUUGCAGAUUCAUCAUUUUUUAAAGACUUUAAAUUUGUAUUGUGUUGAUGUACUUUAUUAUUUUAAAUGUAUGAAUAUCAUUUGUUUUUGUUAAAAUAAUUAAAAUAUAUCAUUUCAUGGCUUGUUAAUAUUUAAUAAAAAAAAAUUGAAUAGAUGAAGGAAAAAAAAUAGUACAUCCAUCCUUAAAUAUAGGAUGUACUUGAAAUAAGAAAAAAAUAUCAUUCUCUAAUAAAUUUGUUAAUAUUACAUGUCCAGUCAAAUAAAUUUCUCAAAAGAAAAUAAAAAAUCCAGUCAAAUAAAUGAUUUAGUGUGUUACAACAAGUGGUCAAUAUAUCCCUUAAUCGAUCUCUAUCUGAAACAUUGUAAAAAGACUAAUACCGACUUUUUUUUUUUUAACUAGCAAAAGACUAAUACCUACUUGAGCACAAGCACUAAUCAUUUUGAUAGUUCAAGGAUCGAUCUCUAUCAUUAAAGUUUGCUUUCGUAAAACUCAUUUGAAUUGGUUUAGUGGUGUUGUUUUUGAAAUUUAUGUAUCUUUUAAAGUUUCAUGUUUGAUUACUCCGUAUUAAUUUCGGUGAGCUAUUUCAUACAUAGCAUUACUCUAACUUUAAAUUGAGCCCUAGAAGUGAACGGUAAGAUUGCUCUUAAAGAUAUAUUUGUGGAAUGAUAUCCUAAAUAAAUUUUCUUAACAUUUUUUAUUCUUAACAUUUGUGGAAUGAUAUCCUAAAUUUGACCAAAUAAAGUUUCAUGUGAAUGACAAUUUUAUUCUACCAGCAACAUUAUCUUUUUAACAUUAUCUCUGCCACUCACUUUUUUAUUGACUUAAAUAAUGGUAGGUCUCAUAUUUUAGAAAUGGAUUUCAUUCAAAGUGGUGGAUCAUACAAUGGUUUCAUCCAAUAAAAAAAUGAACGUUGAAGAAAGGAGAAUUGAUGUUCCCACAUUACAUAAGGCUGUGCCACACGAGUAAAAGACCUUUUUGCCCCUCGUCAGUUAACUGCCGAAGUUUUAUAAAUCCGGCUGCAGUUAACUUCCGAGGAAAACCUCGGUAGUUAACUGCCGAUGAAAUCUGAUUAUGCAGGCAGUGAGCUCUGCAUCAUUCUAAAACAUUUCCAAGCCUUUUUUCGGCCAGUUUUUACCUGUAAUUAAACCAGAGCAUUUCGAAAGGCAAAACAAUUCAUACAGCAUUGAAACUCGGACAUAAACAAGAUAAAUACAAUAUCUUUUACAAUUGUCCAUAAUUAAAUCAAACCGACAUUUUGUUCAAAUUACACAAACGUUUGAAAUUCAUCAUAAUAGUUCAAAUAACAAAAAAUAUUGGCGCAAUUGCACAACUUAAUUAAACCAACAUUUUUAUACAUUAAACAAAGUAAAAAAUCUCAUGAAAUUAAAAAUAAUGUCAUCAAAGCACAAAUAUACAAAUAUACAAAUCAAUGUCAUGAAAACACCAAAAUUAAAAAACAAGUCCUAAAAAUCAAAAUACUACUACUGGUCCUGGUCCUGGUCCUGCUGAUGCUGCCUCCUCCUCGGCCCCUGGCCUCGCCUCCUGGUCAAAAUCAGCGCGAUCUGCUCCCUCAUAUGGCUCAUGGCCUGAAACCACUGCUGAGGGGUCAUGCUCAUGACCUCCUCCUGGCCUAACUGCGACAACACCAUAAACCAUGUCAUAGGUUUCAGGCGAGCUUCUCGCCUCAUACCGCUCUCACUGCUCUGCAAUGAUCUGCUCUUCAUUUGCAGGCCUCAGAAGAUCUCCUGAAAGAGGUGGCAAGAUCUGAGGGUGAGAUACCCUAGUGUACCAUAGCACAUAGCCAUCCGCCAUCCGCCAUGUCUGCUCUCCUGCCUGCUCACCCCAAUCGGCCGCCUUAAGCGUGUGAGUGCGAAAGUCGACGAACGCCUGCACAAUGUAAGGCGGUGGGAGGUCUACAACAUCAGUCGGAUGUCUGAGGAUGGUCUGGACGUAUUCGUACUGCCUCAAAACCCUCUCGGGCAAGUGAAGGUACACCAUACAGACACCGCACAUAAUCCAGCCAGAAUACCAGAAAACCUCCUCAAAGUCCUGGAUCUCCCUAUGCUCUACGUAAGGCCUCCAGCAUACGUCAUCAAACUGUAUACGAUCAAGCAGCGACCGAUACGUGACCCCCCUCCCCGUGACCCUUCUGGAGCUUUCACCUCGCUGCAACCGGAUAGUUUUCCAUGUAGUCAGUGUUGGGAUCAACACUGUAAAAAACAAGAAAAUGCGCCAAAAACCAUGUCUGCACAAACCAAACAAAUAACAUUUAGAAAUUAUUACGCACGGAAAAUAUAACAAAAAAAUAAAAGUUAACAAAAAAAUAAAAUAUAAGUUUUCUUACAAUGAGCAGUGUCACGCUCCCCCCAAGAGCUCUGUCUCCAGGCCUACACGCCUCAUUUAACUCGCCGUAUAGGUAAGCGAGUGUCAUCCCUCUCCAUGAAUAAUUACGCAUCCCUGCGUAGCCGUCCUCCAUGGUCGUCAGAUAGACCAACUCGAUGCGCUUGUUGCUUCUAUCGCCAAACAACAAGCAUCCGACCAAGUAGAGAAGGUAACACCGGACACAAUAAGUUCUAACCUUCACCAGCUCCUCAAGCUCCUCUGGAUCCUCCGUACCAGCCAAUAAGUUGGCCCUACCAAGGUACGUCGUAUAAAAGUCCCUCAGCCUCGGAUAGCUAAUGUGCCCACCGUACUCCUGCCCACAAAUAUUUUCCGCCUCCUGCUGCGACACACCCAGGUGCCUCAUAAGUAGUGCCGCUCCCUCAUGUUUCGGCAUCUUCUUCCCAUGACUCAACAUCCGCCCCUCAAUCGAAAGAUGUGUGAGACAUGCAACAUCAUCCAAUGUCACAGUCAUCUCCCCAAGGGCAUGUGAAAGGUGCUGGUCUCAGGAUGCCACCUCUCGCAUAGAGUCAUCAGCAGGGCAUGAGGCACGGUGGCGUAGCCCAGGUAAACCAAGUCAUGUAACCCGCUCUCCCUAAGCGGAUCCCAAAACCAAUUCUCAUUCCCGUUUGGGCGUCAGAGACUGAGGAUCUUAGCCCCAUGAUUAAUCGGUUUAACGACACGGAGCUUACGAACCUGAAAUAAUAGAAAAAUAAAUAUAGUUUAAACAAACACACAUAUAAAGAAAACAAUUAAACAUAAAGAAUAGAAUUAAAAAAACACAUAUAAAAGUGGAUAUAAUAAUUAAACAAACACACAUUUAAAGAAAAUAAUUAAACAUAAAGAAAAAGAAUUAAAAAAAACACAUAUAAAAGUGGAAAUAAUAAUUAAACAAACACACAUUUAAAGAAAAUAAUUAAACAUAAAGAAAAAGAAUUAAAAAAAAAAACACAUAUAAAAGUGGAUAUAAUAAUUAAACAAACACACAUUUAAAGAAAAUAAUUAAACAUAAAGAAAAAGCAUUUAAAAAAAUUACACUUACGUUUUUUGAAUUAUAUCAAAGCGGCAAUGCCACAUGAUUGGCAUAAGAGUGCAGCAGAGAUAUAAUUUCCGGUCCUCCAGGAAAGGGAGAGUCCACAGGUAACACCUUCGGUGCAGCAACUGUUGGAAUGUCAUCAUCGUCUCCUACAUGCUGCUGCUGUGGUAUAUGAUCCUGGUCAUACCCACCAUCAGUCACAUCGUGGUGUACCUGAUCCUGAUAAUUCAGGUACUCCACCCCAUACUAGUCAACAAGCUGUGAGGGGUCAACAACCUGUGUAGCCUGAGAGCUCCCUGAACCAUCUCCCCUCCGACCUCUACCCCUCUUUGGGAUGUGGUCGCUCUGCCUCUCCCUCCGGUGACUCUGAGUCAUCGCACGCCUACCACCAAUCAUCUUAGAUGGAUCAAUGGGGUCCUAAUCGGCCAUAUCUACACAAAAAAUAAUAAAAUUAACAUCAUUCAACUUAUACAUUCAACCACUUUAUCAAAAACACUAAACCUAAACAUAACCUAAACUUUCACAUUCAACCUAAACAUAACCUAAACAUAAACACUUUCACAUUCAACCACUUGACCAAAAUAAACACAUUGAUUGAACCUAAACAUUAUUAUACACACUAUAAUUCACAUUCAAACGUAAAUAAUCAAAUGCAUUAUCAUACACACAUUCAACCUAAACAUAACCUAAACUAAACAUAAUUCAAUAUACACAUUCAACCUAAUUCAAUAUACACCUUUUCAAUAUGCAUUCAACCUAAUUCAAUAUACACUUUUUCGAAUUACAAUCAAGAUCAUAUCCAUAACCUAAACUAACUAAAUAAUCAAUNGCAGGGCAUGAGGCACGGUGGCGUAGCCCAGGUAAACCAAGUCAUGUAACCCGCUCUCCCUAAGCGGAUCCCAAAACCAAUUCUCAUUCCCGUUUGGGCGUCUGAGACUGAGGAUCUUAGCCCCAUGAUUAAUCGGUUUAACGACACGGAGCUUACGAACCUGAAAUAAUAGAAAAAUAAAUAUAGUUUAAACAAACACACAUAUAAAGAAAACAAUUAAACAUAAAGAAUAGAAUUAAAAAAACACAUAUAAAAGUGGAUAUAAUAAUUAAACAAACACACAUUUAAAGAAAAUAAUUAAACAUAAAGAAAAAGAAUUAAAAAAAACACAUAUAAAAGUGGAAAUAAUAAUUAAACAAACACACAUUUAAAGAAAAUAAUUAAACAUAAAGAAAAAGAAUUAAAAAAAAAACACAUAUAAAAGUGGAUAUAAUAAUUAAACAAACACACAUUUAAAGAAAAUAAUUAAACAUAAAGAAAAAGCAUUUAAAAAAAUUACACUUACGUUUUUUGAAUUAUAUCAAAGCGGCAAUGCCACAUGAUUGGCAUAAGAGUGCAGCAGAGAUAUAAUUUCCGGUCCUCCAGGAAAGGGAGAGUCCACAGGUAACACCUUCGGUGCAGCAACUGUUGGAAUGUCAUCAUCGUCUCCUACAUGCUGCUGCUGUGGUAUAUGAUCCUGGUCAUACCCACCAUCAGUCACAUCGUGGUGUACCUGAUCCUGAUAAUUCAGGUACUCCACCCCAUACUAGUCAACAAGCUGUGAGGGGUCAACAACCUGUGUAGCCUGAGAGCUCCCUGAACCAUCUCCCCUCCGACCUCUACCCCUCUUUGGGAUGUGGUCGCUCUGCCUCUCCCUCCGGUGACUCUGAGUCAUCGCACGCCUACCACCAAUCAUCUUAGAUGGAUCAAUGGGGUCCUAAUCGGCCAUAUCUACACAAAAAAUAAUAAAAUUAACAUCAUUCAACUUAUACAUUCAACCACUUUAUCAAAAACACUAAACCUAAACAUAACCUAAACUUUCACAUUCAACCUAAACAUAACCACUUUCACAUUCAACCACUUGACCAAAAUAAACACAUUGAUUGAACCUAAACAUUAUUAUACACACUAUAAUUCACAUUCAAACGUAAAUAAUCAAAUGCAUUAUCAUACACACAUUCAACCUAAACAUAACCUAAACUAAACAUAAUUCAAUAUACACAUUCAACCUAAUUCAAUAUACACCUUUUCAAUAUGCAUUCAACCUAAUUCAAUAUACACUUUUUCGAAUUACAAUCAAGAUCAUAUCCAUAACCUAAACUAACUAAAUAAUCAAAAAAAUUGUCAUUGACACAUUUUAUCAAACACUUUGUGUGCAAAGUAUCAAACAUACUCAAAAUGUGUUACUCUAACAUCAUUCAAUCAUCAAUUAAAGCAACUACAUUCAAUUAUAAACUACAUGCACUCAUAAAAAAUUCAAUUCCUAAAUCAACUCUAACCACAUGAAAACUACCAUUUUUUUUUUUAUAAAAAAAACCUACCCAAACUAACAUUAUGAUUAAAAAUGAGUCAAGAUACUUACUUGUGAUUAAAUGGAGAUGAUGCACUUGAUUUUGCUUAAAAAACGAAAUUGGAGAACUUGCUUGAUUUUGGAAAACUUGUGAAAAAUUGAACAAAUUCAGAAAACUGAGUUUCUGCUUCUGUUUAUGGAGUUCAGUUCGCAUCGGCAGUUUACUGCCGCCGGUUUACUAAAACUUCGGCAGUUAACUGCUGAAGGGCAUUUAGAUAAAUUACUUGUGUGGAAGAACCUUAUCAAAUGUGUAAACAACAAUUCUCUAAAAAAAGUGUUAUAAAGAGAAUAUCUUUAACAUUCCUCUCUAUUCUUUACUGGAUACUUGUCUAAUCAUUUAGAGUUAUCAACUUCUCAUAAAUCAAAUGAAUAAGUUACAUACAACUAGAUAAUAAAGUGCCUAACUCAUGGACACCACAAAGCGCCUAGCUCAUUAUCAUAUUCAUAACAUACAUAAUUUAUAAGAGCUCACCAUAGUGUAGAUCAUCAUGUGAUUGAUCCAAUGAUAGUGUUUAGAGCUUCUAAGUUGUUUUAGGGUCAAGAUUCUCUCUUUUUUUUGUCAUCUCCAUUAUUUUCAAUAUCAAAGUUUUGGAAACAUAAAUACACUAAUGUAAUAUUUGAUUAUCUUAAUUAUUUAAUAUACACUUUAAAACUCUUCAAAAUUAUGACAACAAAGAGAAAAAUUAGAGAGAAAAUGUAGAGAAUUUUAACUCAUUAUUUUAAGUGCAUCUAGGCUUUUGAGAUUGAUUUUUUUCCUUCGAAUUAGUUAAUCUUUAAAUUGGAUAUCGAAUUUUAAAAAAAAAAUGUAUUUAGGCUUAUCCUUCAAAAAGUUCAGUUCGAGAAUACGUUCACCCAAUUUAGAACAUAAAUCACAAUGGCAUACCAUACAAAUAAGACGAGAUGAGAAUGAAUCGAUUGAGGAGAUUCCACCUAAGUCAAAUCCAAUACUACUUUGCACAUGCUAUGUUACAUUUAUGUGACUUAAUUUAGUAUAUUAAAAAAAGUAACAUAUAUUCUGAUAUAUGUCCCAAACGAAACGGGCCAGCCACCAUAUUGGCUUGGUAGUUGGUAUGGUGAUUCUCCUUUGUAUUGGUUUUUGCCUUGUGCCAAGCAAUUAACUAUGGCGGCAUCAUCAUUUCAUGAUAACCUCAAAAGAAUAUUUCAAUGGGGAUCAUCAAAAUCUAAAGUUGCAAUAAUCUUUGUAUGAAUUGAAGAAGGACCAUAUGAUUUGUUUCCCGAAACAAGUAAAUCACAUAAACUUUCUCUUUAAACGAGAAUUAGUCACGUGUGACCUUUACCUACGAUGUGUCAGUGUUUGGCCCCAUUUGGCUCGCAUGAGUUGGGUGUGUGGCAGGACACACGUCAAGGUCAAACAAACACAUGCUCAUUCACUUUGACAAUAGUGUGCAACCAAUUACAACGUGAAUUCCACAUACCCAUUCCUCUGAGCUGGACCUUUUCGUUCUUGGCUUUUGUAUUUUUCUUACCUCAAUCUUUAUUAGAUUCAAUGCUUUCUUUAAAUGUAAUUUAAAUUAAAAGUUGAUGAUUAGCUUAGUUUUGUUGUAUCUAAUUGGAAUAUUGUUGGCUCAUGAAGGGAGUUUGGAAGAAUCCACCAAUCAUAUAAAUAAAAGAGACACCAUCUGUUUAUUUAAAAUCUUAAAUAUUGAUAUUUUUCAAGUGUGAGUUCAUCAAUUUAUCGUGUUUACUUUUCCAACAAAAACUUUUUCAUUCACAUCCACAUACACUUGUACUUGUACUUGUAUUUGUAUUGUCGACUGAACAUCCUUGGUGGAAAAGAGUUUGAACACAAGAAAAUUUUUGUCGAAUCUUCACUUUGAUAUAACUGUUGAGUCAUGAAGAGAGUCUAGAAGAACAUUUUGUUAGGAUUUAAGCUCAUGAGGAGAGCCCAAUCCAAAAGACUAGUCCAAUAGGUGGGAGAACCUCACGACUUAAGUACUACAUCAAGCACUUUAAUCUACUCGAUGUGAGAGUCCUAACAUUGCCACACCCUUUAAGAGCCGACGUCCACGACAACUUUCACUCUAUCGGCAAUAACUCGAUGGCAGCCCUUUCCUUUUUUGGUGGCUUCACUCACCUAUCAGUAUUCGAUGGAACACCUUAAUCCAGCCUACAGGUAGCACUUUACGUGGUCCAACUCUCAAUGAAAGCAUCAAUUGUUAGGACUUAAGCCAUGAGAAGAGCCCAACGCAAAAGACUAGUCCAAUAUGUAGGAGAACCUCACGGCUUAAGUACCACAUCAAGCACUUUAAUCUACUCGAUAUGAGACUCAUAACACAUUUACAUUUGAUUAAAAGCAAUCACACACAAAUGAAUGACAUCAUAUUUUUUUAUUGAAAACAUUAUUGAGUUUAUAAAACUGUUUAGUUCACACUUAUCACACAACAAUAUUAUGUUUGGAUGAGUUGAUCCAAAGGAAAGACACAUCAAAUGUUUUGCUCCCUCUAAUCAAUUUAUCAUUUUAUAAGAGACAUUUCUAUCAAUUUAAAAUUGAGUUAAUAGGUCUUUACCCCUGUAAUAUAGGUCAAUUUUGAUUUUUUCCAUGUAAUUUUUUUUUGUCAGAUUUCAUCAUUGUAAUUUUUUUGUUUGUUUUUGAAUACCCCCUAGGCAUGCUGACUGUACAUUUUUGCUUAUGUUGCAUGAUGCGUCACCUUUUUCUGAUGACGUGGCGCGCUGACUGUAUAAUUAUUUUUAUUUUUUAUUAGGUACAAAUGGCAUUUGUGAUUUUUUUAAAAAUAAAAAUAAAAAAUUCUUAAAAAAUUAAUAAUGAUUAAAAAAAUCUUGAAAAAUUAAUUAAAAUUAUAAAAAAAUGUGGAAAAGAUUAAUAUAUAUUGAAAUUUUCAAUUUUUUUUUUCCAAAAUAUCAUAUUUAAAAAAACUAAAUUUUCGAAAAAAAUUUAAAUAAAACUUCUUACUUUUGAAAAAAAAAUAUGAAUUUUUUCCAUUUUUCCAGAAUUUUUUAAUUUUACCGCUAUUGAAAAAAAUCUGGAAAUAUGAUUUUUUUUUCUAAAUAUAUUAAUUUUUAGAAUUUUAUAUAUAUAUAUAUAUAUAUAUAUAUAUAUAUAUAUAUAUAUAUAUAUAUAUUAAUCUUUUCCAGGAUAUUUUUUUUUAAUUUUUCCCAAAUUUUUUCUUUUUACCAGAUUUUUUUAAUCAUUUUUUAUUUUUAUUAAUUUUUUCAUAAAAUUUCCAUAUUUUUUUUCGUUUUUAAUUUUUUUAUUAUUUUCAAAAAAAUUCACAAAUGCCACGUGUACCUAAUAAAAAAAAAUAUUCAGUCAGCGAACCACGUCAUCAGGAAAAGGUGACACAACAUGCCACAUCAGCAAAAAUGCACAAUUAACAUGUCCAGAGGGAUAUUCUAAAACAAAAAUUUUACAAAGAUGAAAUUUGACAAAAAAUUUUAAGGGGGGAAAAUCAAAAGUGAUCUAUAUUACAGGGGGUAAAGGGCUAUUAAUCCUUUAAAAUUUGAGGAAGGAUGAUGGAUUGAAAUUAUUAACUACAAUAUUGUUUAUACUAGUAAAUACUAUAAUGAUGUUAGAAGUAGCCAGUUCUAAUUACUAAAUCUGUGUGCCAAAUUCAUGAAUGAAAUAGAUAGAGGACACUGACUGACUUACCCAAUCGUACGUGCAUGAAUGCCAAGGACAUUGAUCCAACGUGUAAUGAAUCCACAAAAUAGAAAAAUAGAAAGAAGAGUGUGUGGGAUAAAGAUGAUGGUGAAACAUCAAAAACCAUGUGGCCUGUGGGGGAGUGGGAAUCAGAAUUGGUUAUAGUAUAAAGGAAAGUAAGACAGAAAAAAUUGUCUUUUUCGAUGUGUAAUAGUAAUACUAUAGUAACUACUAUACAAGUAAUAUUAUUAUGUUUAUUAACUUUUUCCUACAACCACCGUUACAGGCAAGAAGAUAAAGGAUAUCGUCACAGGUUGGCAUGGCGUCCCUCCAAAACACUGGCAGGGUUACAAAACAAGGUCUUGUGGUACGUUGCUGCUUGUGACUUUGUCCACUUGUAUCUUGCGAUACAUGGAAAAUCAUUGUCAGACAUAUUUUCUAAAAUUAAAAUGGUUUUAAUUUACAAUUACAAAUGCAACCCUGUACGGAAGAUGCAAAUGGAUGUGUAAUAGUGAAGUAAAUUGGAAAAAAAUCUAAAGCAACCAUAAAUAUUGAAUGGAUUUUUUGUCAAUUUUUUUUUUUUUUUGGAUGGAUUUGUAAACUAAAUUUACAAUUUACAUACGACUGAAAACUCCUUCCAAUGAGUCUCAUAGUUGUAUUUUUGUAAUACACUCUGAACUGUACAUGUCCCGUUUAGUUUUUUAGUUCUUCUAUAAGCUUUGGUCCUCUUUUACACAAAUUAAAAAUAUCCUUUUGAAAAAUAUAGUACAACAUGGGUAUCAUUGUUUUAUCAGUGUAAUUAUUUUGUUUUUCAUAAAAAAAAAAAGUUUUUUUAUUAGAAAAUGUUUAUUAAUAAAGAUUACAAAGGGUACUGAUCCAAUCCAAAAUGCAAGUGAAUACUACCAUCUACAACAAUUUCUUUUAAUGAAGUUAGAACAGAUGAACUUACAUUUUUUUUAAAUAGCAAAUGAACUUACAUGUUAUCUAAGUCUUCACAUCGAAUAACGGAAUUUGAAUGAGUUUUAAACUAAUUUACCAAUUAAAUUAAUGAGAUUCUAACGAGAUUCUCACAUCAGUUGCAGUCUUACUGACAUGAGUAGUUUAGAGGAUGUGCAGGAGGAGCAACUGCAUAUAGCUCCAAAUUUUAGGGGGCACUAAUUUUUUCUUCUUCUUCUUCUUUGUGUUUGUAUAUGUUAAAAGUAAAUUAUAAUAUAAUUAAUAUACACAUAUUUUUGGUUAGGCUCAAAGAUGCUUGCGGCGUAGUUUGAAAUAUAUUUUGAGGCAAGAAAAUCAUCCAACCUACAUGUUUAAAAAUGUAAUCCAAUCUAAUUAAAUAUGGUUUAAAUUGGACCACUUUUCAGUUUAUAAUUUUUUUAUAUUAAUAAUCUAAUAUUAUUAUAAAAUCACGGUAUAAUAACAAGUUUAUGUGAAGUAUAACAUAUACAUUCAAAAAUUAAAUAACAACUAUUGAUUACUCACGUCAGACACCAUUCCUUCAAAUUUGUAAAGAUACAAAUAGUGUCUAAACUCUUUUUAAGAAUUUCAACCCUGCCUACGUCCAAAGCUAAUUGCAGUAUGUUUCGAAUAAUUAAUUUAUAAUAUUUUUUAGAAUAAUAAUAGAAAUAAAAUUUAAUUUUGAACACAUAUUUUCCAAUUCAACAAUCUUCCAAAGGGCCGUCUGACCUAAAAUUCGAGAAUUAAGCAGCAGCCCUAUUUUGGUCCCUCUUUAAUUAGUUAUUUCCUAGUAAUUCAUUUUAUUUGUCGUGAAGAAGACCUUUUGUCCCUUUUAGUACCAAGUAAUUCCCCAUGUCACUAAAAAUGACGUUUUUUAUUUUUAUUUUGAACAAAUGACAUUUUGUUUUGUAAUGACUAGUAUAUAUGAAAAUUCAAUGAGAUUGAUUUAUUAAGAUUUUAAAAAUAAAUUUACAAGAUUUUCUUGAUUGAAUAUAUUAAAUUGAAAUUAUAAUACCCAAAAGCGCUUAAAUGAGAUGACACAUAUUUUCUUAAGAAUUUCAACCCUGCCUACGUCCAAAGCUAAUUGCAGUAUGUUUCGAAUAAUUAAUUUAUAAUAUUUUUUAGAAUAAUAAUAGAAAUAAAAUUUAAUUUUGAACACAUAUUUUCCAAUUCAACAAUCUUCCAAAGGGCCGUCUGACCUAAAAUUCGAGAAUUAAGCAGCAGCCCUAUUUUGGUCCCUCUUUAAUUAGUUAUUUCCUAGUAAUUCAUUUUAUUUGUCGUGAAGAAGACCUUUUGUCCCUUUUAGUACCAAGUAAUUCCCCAUGUCACUAAAAAUGACGUUUUUUAUUUUUAUUUUGAACAAAUGACAUUUUGUUUUGUAAUGACUAGUAUAUAUGAAAAUUCAAUGAGAUUGAUUUAUUAAGAUUUUAAAAAUAAAUUUACAAGAUUUUCUUGAUUGAAUAUAUUAAAUUGAAAUUAUAAUACCCAAAAGCGCUUAAAUGAGAUGACACAUAUUUUCUUAAGAAUUUCAACCCUGCCUACGUCCAAAGCUAAUUGCAGUAUGUUUCGAAUAAUUAAUUUAUAAUAUUUUUUAGAAUAAUAAUAGAAAUAAAAUUUAAUUUUGAACACAUAUUUUCCAAUUCAACAAUCUUCCAAAGGGCCGUCUGACCUAAAAUUCGAGAAUUAAGCAGCAGCCCUAUUUUGGUCCCUCUUUAAUUAGUUAUUUCCUAGUAAUUCAUUUUAUUUGUCGUGAAGAAGACCUUUUGUCCCUUUUAGUACCAAGUAAUUCCCCAUGUCACUAAAAAUGACGUUUUUUAUUUUUAUUUUGAACAAAUGACAUUUUGUUUUGUAAUGACUAGUAUAUAUGAAAAUUCAAUGAGAUUGAUUUAUUAAGAUUUUAAAAAUAAAUUUACAAGAUUUUCUUGAUUGAAUAUAUUAAAUUGAAAUUAUAAUACCCAAAAGCGCUUAAAUGACAUGACACAAGUCUCAUCUAACUUAACCAAUGUCAUGCGUUCGAAUAUAAUUUUAGGUGUAUAUCAUUUACGCGCGCAUAAUAUUUCCGAUUUACACACAAAAAAAAAAAAAAAAAUUAAAAUAUUUACAAAAAUGCAUGUAUCAAAAGGUAUGAAGUUAAUUUUAUUUGAAUUUUAAAAUUAUAAUAUUUCAAAGCCAUCUAAAAUAAAAUAUUUAGUCAAUUGACCGACUUAAUUCUAUUUAAUUUAUUUUACAAUAAUUUUCUUACUUAAUUAAACACCAUUGCUCUACUAUGAUGGACGAAGCCGAAUUUACCUAAACUCUUUGAAGAAAACAAAAAAAAUUCCAACAUAAGUACACGGUUUGUUUGUGGAAAAUGUGUUUAAAGUAGGAUUUCGGACUACACCAAAAUGAUUUCCAAGAAUAUCUGAAAUAAAUGCCUCCAUUAAAUAAAUAAUAAAUGGCCCAAAAAUAUUUGAAGCUUUUCUUUCUAUGUCGAUUAGUGCCACUGCAAGUGUCCAUCACCGUCACGACUACAGUCACAGAGCACUACAUUAGCCGCUUAAGUCAUUUCGAUCCAAUUUCCUUCAAAGGUUUCCAAAUCAUUACAUUACAUUAUCAUUUUUAUCAUUUAUACAUAUCUAUCUAUCUAUAUAUAUAUAUAUAUAUAUAUAUGUCACCUUUAUAUUUAUACUUUAUUCUAUACUUUAUCCUUUUUUCUAAUUCUUGUUUUCUUUAUUCCAGGAAUCAAAUUUCAUCAUAAUCAUUCUUGGUUUCUUCUUCUUCACUAUAUUACAAACAUUUUUCAGUCACUUCAACUUCAACCAACAAUGGCUAUUUUAGAUGUUCUCUUAGGAACGAUCAAUGUAACAUUUUUCUAUGUCAUUUUAAUAUGGGUUUUAUUUGAUAGUUUAAGACAAAGCACACGUAACAAUCUUCAACAUUUCAAACACACACCAACAAUUUUCUCUUAUAUCACUGUUUUUUUCAAUGCUGUGAUUUCCCUUUUGAACAUAGCUUUUGUUUUCUAUGAUUACACUACACGUGGAAUCAUAGGAUUUAACUAUGUUUCUUUUGGUUUAACAUGGGUUUUAGCUACUAUGGUUUCAUUCUAUUCAAUGAAGAAAACACUUAGAGAGAAUAAAAGAUUUCCUUUUGUUCUAAUUCUUUGGUGGUUCUUUGUCACAUUUGUUCAUAUAAUCUCACUGUCUUUAAAACUUGUUAAGAAUUCAAAAUCCAUCAACUUAUGGAUUUUGUUGUUGGAGAAGAAUACUGUUGAAACAGUUUCUUUGCCUAUGUUGUUAGUGAUGUGUUUCAAUGCAUUUCCUAAUGUGUGUGUAAGGGAACAAAGUGAAAUAGAAGAAAGGUUACUUCAGAAAGAGUUUGAAUCUUCUACUUUUGAAGAUGAAGAGGCUUUUGCAAAAGCUGGUGUGUGGAGCAAACUUACAUUUAGGUGGUUGAAUCCUAUAUUUGAAAUGGGUCGGAUUCAGAAGCUUGAACAUGUUAAUGUUCCUUCUGUUCCUCCCUCUGAAACUGCUGCUAGUGCUUCUUCUAUGUUGGAAGAAUCUAUUCGAAAACAGAAGCUUGAAUGCGGUUCUUUGUCAAAAGCUAUUGUUGAUUCUGUUUGGAAAUCAUUGGCCUUAAAUGCUGUUUUAGCAGGUAUAAUCCUUAUAGACUAUAUGCAACAUUAUGUUAUGCAUGUACUCAUUUCUUACUAAUUUGUUUAUUUUAUUUUUAUGUACUUAAUAUGCAACUUUAAGUCAUUCAUAUAAUGAGUAGUAAUUUGUUUAUUUUAUUUUUAUGUACUUUAUGAAACAUGUAGUCAUUCUGUUUUAUAUAUUGUGAUUAGUAAUUUGUUUAUUUUAUUUAUACUUUCAGGUGUUAACACUAUUGCUGCUUAUAUUGGUCCCUUAUUGAUAUCAAACUUUGUGAAUUUUUUAUUGUCGAAUGAUGAUAAUUCAAACAUCAAAUAUGGAUUGAUUCUUGCCUUCAUUUUCUUCCUCGCAAAAACUGUUGAGUCACUAAGUCAAAGACAAUGGUACUUUGGUGCUCAACGAAUCGGAAUUCAGGUGCGUGCGGCACUUAUGGCCUUAGUUUAUAGCAAGUCACUAAUGAUUAAAUGUGGCGGACCAACGCAUGGUAAAAUCAUCAAUUUGAUUAAUGUGGAUGUUGAAAGAAUUGGUGAUUUUUGCUGGUAUGUUCAUGGAGUUUGGUUGCUUCCAGUUCAGAUUAUUUUGGCCUUGGUGAUCUUAUAUAUAAAUUUGGGUUGCACACCUUCUAUUGCUGCACUUGCUGUUACCAUUUUGGUCAUGGUGUGUAACACACCUUUGGCGAAUAUGCAAGAAGGUUUGCACUCUAAGAUAAUGGAAGCUAAAGAUUCAAGAAUCAAAAUGACUUCAGAGACAAUGAAGAACAUUAGAAUUUUAAAGUUGCAUUCAUGGGAAUCGACAUUUCUGCAGAAACUCUUACAACUUAGGGACACAGAGAAGAAGUGGUUGCACAAAUACCUCUACUUAUGCUCAGCAGUAGCCACGCUAUUUUGGGCAUCUCCAACUUUGGUUUCUGUUUUCACUUUUGGAGCUUGUAUAUUGGUGAAAACCGAGCUAACUGCAGCCACAGUCCUCUCGGCUCUUGCAACAUUUCGUAUUUUGCAAGAACCGAUUUACAAUUUGCCUGAACUUAUUUCCAUGAUAACUCAAACAAAAGUCUCCGUCGAUCGAAUCCAAGAGUUCAUAAAGGAAGAAGAUCAAAAUCAAUUCAUGAAUAGGCAUGCUUCCAAAACUUCAACAAUUGCUAUUGAAAUAAAGCCAGGAGAGUAUGCAUGGGAAGCAAAUGAUCAAUUCCUCAAGAAACCAACAAUUCAUAUUGCAGAAAAAUUGAUGAUAAAGAAAGGUCAAAAGGUAGCAGUUUGUGGGCCAGUAGGGUCUGGAAAAUCAAGCUUGCUUUGCAGUAUGCUUGGUGAGAUUUCAUUGGUUUCUGGGGCAGCAACCAAAGUUUAUGGGACUAGAAGUUAUGUACCCCAAAGUCCAUGGAUUCAAUCUGGAACUAUAAGAGAAAAUAUAUUGUUCGGGAAGCAAAUGAAUAAGGACUUUUAUGAAAAUGUUGUGGAUGGCUGUGCAUUGCUCCAGGAUAUCAACUUAUGGAGUGAUGGAGAUUUGACCAUGGUGGAGGAGAGGGGAAUAAAUUUAAGUGGAGGACAAAAGCAGCGAAUUCAACUGGCAAGGGCUGUUUACAAUGACUCGGACAUUUAUUUCCUCGAUGACCCUUUUAGUGCUGUUGAUGCUCAUACUGGGAGUCAUAUGUUUAAGGUUAGUAGUGCUAAUGCUUAUUUUAUUUUAUUCAUUCAUGUAUUUUCUAAUUAACUACAUUUUCAUUCCAUUCAAAAAACUUACAAAGAAGUGAAAUAUUGUGCAGGAAUGUCUAAUGAAACUUUUAUACGAUAAAACUGUUGUUUAUGCUACACAUCAACUGGAAUUCUUGGAAGCUGCAGAUCUUAUUUUGGUAGGAUAUAUUGAACACUUGUGUGUCACUGAUGAUAUCACUGCACCAAUUUGAUUGAACUCUCAAUGAUGAAAUUUAUGCACCUAUUUGAUUGAACUAUCGUCUCACUAGUUAUAUACUUUCUGUCAGGUUAUGAAAGAUGGAAAAAUAGUGGAGUCCGGAAGGUAUAGAGAUCUCAUAGCAUGCCCUCAUAGUGAAUUUGUCCAGCAAAUGGCUGCUCAUGAAGAAACAGUAUGCCAAAUUCCAUGCCGGAAAGAUGAUUCUGUUUGCUGCAGACCCUGCCAAAAAAAUCCAACUGAAAUUGCAGAAGAAAAUAUUCAAGAGAUCAUGUUGGAUUGGAAGAGAACCAGAGAAGAGGAAGCAAUGACUGGUCGAGUAAAAUGGAGUGUUUAUUCAACCUUUGUCACAUUAGCUUAUAGAGGAGCACUGGUUCCAAUUAUUCUUCUCUGCCAAAUUCUAUUUCAAGUUAUGCAAAUGGGAAGCAAUUAUUGGAUGUCUUGGGCUACAGAAAAAAAGGGAAGGGUCGACAAUGUGCAGCUUAUGGGAGUUUUCGCUCUUUUAUCUGGUGGAAGCUCCAUCUUCAUAUUGGGAAGGACAGUUUUAAUGGCAACAGUUUCCGUGGAAACAGCUCAGCGCCUUUUUCAUGGAAUGAUCGCAUCGGUUUUUAGGGCACCUGUUUCAUUUUUUGAUACCACUCCUUCUAGCCGAAUUCUGAGUAGGGUAAGUUUCACUAGUAUUCCCUAUCCAAUAAGAUUAUUGUUAUUAGUUUUAUUCAAAUUACAAUUGUUUUCUUUGUGAUUGUUACAGUCAUCCACAGAUCAAAGUACAGUUGAUACAGACAUACCCUACAGAUUAGCUGGACUAGUCUUUGCACUGAUCCAGUUAUUGAGUAUCAUUGUCCUUAUGUCCCAGGCUGCAUGGCAAGUCAUUCUUCUCUUUUUCGUGGUUCUUGCUCUCUCUGUCUGGUAUCAGGUAAGAACUAUCAUUCUUUGCUAAUGUACACAAACACUACAUAUUAAAUUUUUUUUUUUAAUUUUGUUAAGAUUUUACGAUGCAUGAACUGAAAAUUUCAUGGUUCAGUUCAUGUUAUGAUGAAUCCUAAUUUUGUCAUACAUGUUCGCAUUGCAUGUUCUCACUCUUGCAUUGAUUAUCCUAGUAUUCAAAUGAUGAGGGAAAUUGUGUAUUUAUUUGCAGGCCUAUUACAUCACUACGGCUAGGGAAUUGGCCAGGAUGGUGGGGAUCCGAAAGGCACCAAUCUUGCAUCACUUCUCAGAGUCAAUUGCUGGGGCUGCCACUAUCCGUUGUUUCAAACAAGAGAAAAUAUUCCUGACCAAGGUUAUGGUUCUAAUUGACGAUUAUUCUCGGGUAGCCUUUCACAACUAUGCCACCAUGGAAUGGUUGUCCGUCAGAAUCAAUUUUCUCUUCAAUUUGGUAUUCUAUUUUGUUCUCGUCAUCUUGGUUACUUUGCCAAGGUCUGCCAUCAAUCCCAGUAAGUUCCUUUCUCCUGCGUUCAUCCUAUAAGCAGUGAUAGUUUUUUAAAGUUCAUACAUGUAUGUGAGAGUCAAUUUCCAUUAGAGUAAUUAAGAAACUAGGAGGAAGGAAAUUUACAACUUUUGCGACUCCACAACCAGAAGGGGAAAUAAUUUUGUAGAUAAAUAGCUUUUUGGUAUUCACUUUUUUAUAUCUCUCAACAUUCACUAUAUCCCUAGGCAGUUCGUUAAAGCACAAAAGAAAUUAGUAAGAUUAGAAUCAGAUUCCACAGAUCUUGUUUUAUAUCUUUGUUGAUUAAUUGUUUCCUCUUAUUUUCAGGCUUGGCGGGUCUUGUUGCUACUUAUGGUCUAAACUUGAAUGUGCUUCAGGCUUGGGUGAUAUGGAAUCUAUGCAAUGUUGAGAACAAAAUGAUCUCAGUAGAGAGAAUAUUGCAAUUCUCUAAUAUACCAAGCGAAGCACCAUUAAUUAUUCAAGAUUGUAGACCUGAACCAGAGUGGCCUAAGGAAGGAAAAAUUGAAUUCCUUAACCUUCAUAUACAAUAUGAUCCUUCUGGUCCUAUGGUUCUCAAAGGUGUCACUUGCGUCUUCCCUGGACAAAAGAAAAUUGCAGUAGUAGGCCGGACAGGGAGUGGAAAAUCUACUCUGGUGCAAGCCCUCUUUCGAGUUGUGGAGCCUUUGGAAGGAUGUAUACUUAUCGAUGGUGUAAAUAUUUCCAAGAUUGGUCUGCAAGAUUUAAGAUCAAAGCUUGGUAUCAUUCCUCAGGAUCCAACCUUGUUUUUAGGUACUGUAAGGACUAACUUGGAUCCGUUGGAACAACACACUGAUCAAGACCUUUGGGAGGUUAGCAAUGAAUACUUUCUUCAAAAUUCCAUUAUUGAUAUGCUUUCUAGAACAUAAAAUUUAAUGGAAAGCUAUUUUUUUUAGGUUCUCAGGAAGUGCCAUCUUGCGGAAAUAGUACAGCAAGAUCCAAGGCUUCUUGAUGCACCAGGUAGAAAUAUAUUUGUUAAACCAACUUCAUCUUUCAGGAGUAUAACUUCAUAAAUGCUUCUACUCCACAGUUAGUUUUGUUUUUGUUUUUAUCCUUAAAAACCUGCUAUUGAUAUGAUACACCCGUUUAAUUUGCGCAAAUACCUGUGCAGUGGCCGAAAAUGGGGAAAAUUGGAGUGUUGGACAGAGACAACUAGUUUGCCUUGCUAGGUUGCUACUGAAGAAAAGAAAAAUCUUGGUCCUAGACGAGGCAACUGCAUCCAUUGACACUGCAACUGAUAAUUUAAUUCAGAAGACUAUUAGGGAAGAAACAAGUGGAUGCACAGUCAUUACAGUAGCACAUAGAAUUCCUACUGUCAUUGACAAUGAUUUGGUUUUGGUGCUUAAUGAAGGUACAAAAAUGCACUGAGUAGACAGUAUGCAAUUCGAUAUGUAUGAUUGUAAACUGAUAAUGAAACCUAGGAAAACAUAAUGUUGGAGGGUGUUGUAUCCUUUCAUUCAUAAAUAUUUAACAUGGGAGGUGGGGGCCGAGAAUAGGCGCAGAGUUAGUUUGAAUUUGACAUAAUUCUCACCAAGUGUAACAGCAUAUUAAUGCACACCAUUUUGUAAGCUUUGAGCUGAUAGACACUAUUAUUCUGAUGUAUACAGGGACAAUUGCGGAGUAUGAUCAACCAUCUCAAUUGCUACAAGCCAAUUCUUCUUCGUUCUCCAAGUUGGUGUCAGAAUUUUUGAGAAGAUCAUCCCAAAGUAAUUGCAAAAAAAGAUAAGAGCAUGAGGACAAACAGAAGGGAUAGCAUAGCAGUAGAAGUAACAUACUAUCACACACAAUUAUUGUACAUAGAUAAAAAGUUAGACCGCUGAGCAUAAUUAGUUUUGGCGACGGAUUGCAGCUCAAAAAAUCCUGACUCAUUACAUUACCAAAGAUCAUCUCAAAGUUGAAGGUCAAGUAGAUUGAAGGCUCCUGAUCAGUAUGUCUUAAUUGAUAUUCUGAUUUCACAGGCUUAACCGAGUUUCUAAUAUAACUAAGAUUUUCCUUUUCAAAUUAUAUCCAUCACACAAUUAGUGAUUGUUUCCAUAGUUUCUAUACAGGUUCCAUUCAAAGAUAUUAAUGUUAGUGAAAACUCCUUACAUACAAGAGCCCCGAAGGAGCCAAUAACAGACCUCUAGUUGUUUAAUACCAUUCUUGGAUGUCCAAUAUCAUUAGUCAUAUAUCUUGUGCCCUGAAUGUACAUAGACUUGUGCGUUAUAUUCAGUGAAUGAAGUUUUAAUAAUUUUUUUUUGCAUUAGAUUGGCCGUCUUAUUGUAUAUAUGCCGCCGAUAAAAUACUCCAUAACUAAAUGUCAAUCUCUGGAAUAUAGCAGCAGGCAGCUUAUAGUAAGUUGAACAUCUUAAUCUUUUCUUUUUACUAUGAACUCUAAGCUUGAGUGUUUUUUUUUUUUUUUUUUUAUAGGCUUUAUGCUUCAGUUGUUAAUUGUUAUAGAAAAUUCAUGCAACAAGUUCAAUAUAUUCAAUUUUAACAUUGGUUUAUAACUUACAAGUCCUGAUGAUAAAAAGGCUCAGUAGUUUAGUGCGUGUCUUGGUCAGACAUUCAAAGGAUAAGCACUAGAAGAAACUAAGGCCGGAUGAUCAUCCUCAAUGCAUCGACCAAAGUUAUGAUGCUUCAUGCUACUGAUGAUUCACCUAUUCAGCUACCAAUUGAACAAUAUCAGCACUGCAGUUGCUUUCUUUGCUGAUGUUUCAUCCUCUUCUGGUUUGAUUCUUCCCAUUAGUGCUUCCAUUUGUCUCGGUUUCAAUUAUCAGAUUGUUAACUCUGUUGCAAGUUUUCACAUUGCUAGCUAUCCAGGCUCUUCAUAUUUCACAUCACAUUUGUUUUAUGUUGCAUGAUAUUUCAAUGUUAGUGGUCCAUCACUAUUAAUGUUCAGAAUUCACAACUCUUGUGGACCACUUUAUGAAACUGAAUCCUUCACAACAUUCACUCAACUAUGGAUAUGAUUUUAAAUUUCCUUACAAUUCUAAAAAUAUAUGGAAUGUAGUAACAAGUAAGAAAGUGCAAUUCCAACCAUUAUGGUUCCAUGAUAAAAAGUGUCAACCUUAAUGUGUGUCCUUAGCAAUGUCUUGCUGCAAUUUAUAACCACUUUUGUAGGUUGUUCUGUUGUCCAGUGUUCUUUUUAUAAGCACUUCUGCCGCUGCCUUUGUUCUGCCUCUAUUCCUUUCGCAAAAUGAGAAGUUGAAUGCUUCUCAAACAGAAAAAUGAGAAUUGAAAAACACGAGGGUUUGAUAUUUCCAAUUAAACUUGCUUUUGAAGCAAAAACUACUUUUUGGAACAAACAAAAAUAAUUCCCCAAAUUUAUAACCAAGCCCAAUUUUGGUUGACAAAAUACGUUUAGACAAACAGAAAAUCAAACAUGCUUGUAUCAUAAUCUAGUUUCACUGGGACUAAUAUUGUUAAUGCAAUAUAAUUUGAUUAUUAAUUUUAUAUUUAACUAUUUUGUUGGGUGAAAAAUUAAAUUAUGUGUUAACCCACCUAGCUCAUCAUGCUUAGAGUCUCACCCCCCCAAUUGAAAGGCACAUGGGCAGCAGAAGAGGCCAUGAUCCAUCCAUAUCCAUAGGCCUUACAUCAUGAAAUUUAAUUAAGGCUAGUAAGUCACGUGAAUGAAUGCUGCCAUUAUUUUCUUUAUUUCUUCUUUUGUUGUAUGUGUCCUUUGUUUGUCCAACAUUUUUAGUGUCUAUUUGCAAUUCAUGAAAGGUCUUAGUCAAUGAUGUCAAGAAAACAAUUGAAAGGUCUCAGUCAUCAAUUUAUUUCUUAUUGAAAUAUGUACAACCGAAAUGAAACAUAAUGUGAUGAUUGAACAAUAAUAUAUAAGAAACAAUAUCAAGGAUUUCAUUUCAUUGGAGCUGUGCUGUAAUUUUAAGAUCUGCUACUGAUAUCAUCUUAUUUUCUACGUUGCAAAGUGAAGCGUUUCACUUGGAACUGUAAUAUUAUUCACUUUGCAGGUUGAAAAUAAAAUGAUAUAAGUAGGGAGAAUUUUGAGAUGUGGAGCCUUUGGAAGGAUGUAUAAUUAUUGACUAUACAUAUUUUUAAGGUUUGAUCUACAUGAUUUAAGAUCUAUGUCUAGUAUAUAUAUAUAUAUAUAUAUAUAUAUAUAACGGUUCUGGUGAAGGCUUUGUUUUCAAUAAAAUGAAACUUUCAUUGAUAUAGCAUAUCACUUUAAUUCACUCAAACAGACAUGCAGUGGAUGAGUAUGGAGAAAAUUGAAGGAAAUUUAAGUGCUACUGUUUUGACGGUGUAUCUAGAUUCAUUGGUCGUAGAUGCACAGUCGGUCAUGACGGUGGCAUUUGAAUUUCCUAGUGUCAUUGAUAUUGUCCUCCUUGAAGAAAAAUGAUGCUGGUAUUUCUUCUUCAUGAUAAUCAAACCUAGGAAAACAUUUCCAUCCUAAAGACUUAACUAGGUAGAUAUUGGCAUGGUGCUAGGUUGAAUUUGACAUGAUUUUCACCCUAUUUUGUAAGCUAGGACCUUAUAAACGACUUUUAUGCUUUAGAAAACCAGGUUCAUUUUGUAGAUUAGAUUGGUAGGAUAUACGCUACUAACAAAACACUAAUUUUUCAGCUAAACCAAAAAAAAUGCCAUCGAUUAUGGAAGACAGUGCAUAGAUGCAUAAAGUACGUAUAACCAAGAACAAAACAUAUCGCACUAUUUAUUACAUCAAAAUCAGCCAAGUAAGAAAGAUUUUGAUUGAUUCAUUCCUUCAAGUUGGGCUCGGAGAAGAACUUGUUGACAGACGGCAUCACCUGAGGUGGUUUAUUGCGGAGGAACUUUCUGACUCUGUGUUCAGCAUACGCCUCGCCCUCAGCAUGGUUCUCAAGCACACCUGCAAUUCUGUUCUGUUUGUUUACCCUAAAAACCAAUUGAAUUCAAUAUAUUACAUUCAUCAGAAUAAAACUAGGCUCAAGUUCAAUCUUCAUUUUCUGCUAUAUUUUUUCUUUAACUUGCAUUGAUAUGCUUUGCAUUCAUGUUGAUUCCAAAGAGUUUUUUCAACCAUAUGAAGAAUAAAUUCAUGUUGUCCUGUCGAUCUCCAAUAGGAUUGACUCUGUCUGAAAACACAUAUCUCUCGAUUUUUCUGCUUAAUUUUAAUAUUUUCUACUAAUGUUAAUGAAAUCAAAAUAAAAUAAAAACUUAGCAAAGAGAAGCUCAGAUUUUAGUUCACUUGUUUCUCAUAACCUAGAAAUUAGAGGUUUCCAAAAACCAAUAACAAAUCUACAGACACAUUGAAAGUUGAGUUUUUGAGUGUGUUUGGAUGGGGGAAUGUUUUGAGAGGGUUCAAAUAUUUGAGGUGAAUUCCAUUGUUUGGAUAAUAAUUUAAAGAACUUUUAAAAUGAUGGAAAUUUAUGAAGUAUUUUGUUCAAGUUUUUUUUUUUUUUUUUUGAAUCGGCAAAUAUUAUUAAAUGUCAUCCCACAAGACGCAACGUAAGAUACAAAUAGUGCUGCAUAUAGACGGUACACCAUAACCACCUAAAAACACCCGUGAAGAUAAACCCAGCAAAACACAUCACCACCUAAAACAAACUCCAAAAAAAGAAAGCAAUGUAAACACGUAUCCACCACCGCCUAUCGUCACUACUCACCCACAAAGAACACCCUCAAAAUAAAACUCUCAUACCCCAACACCCAAGCUGAGCCACAUGAUGAAGAACACCUAACUGAAGGAUCACUAGCUAUCACAAACCUCACGACCUACGAUCCACCGAAAUAGCACAACACAAAGCCCAAAAACCAACUUGAGUCAAAGAACUGACUCUUGAUCUCGAAUCAAAAGUGAUCGGCCCACCAGACUAUAGUACCAAAUUAGCAGGGCACCCCUCGCCCCUGGUACACCAGAGAAAAACCAAAUCAAGUCAAACAAAAAUUGCAGCUAGACCCCGACUCCCGAUCUCGAAGCCAAAUGAACCGGCCUAUCGAAAACCAGCACACAAUAUGUAAGACGAAAGACAUGGCAUGUGAAGUUUAAACAACAAACAAAUCAAAAGGAAAAGGCUCAACACAACGUGACACGCACCGUACAAAAACACAAACAAGAGCUAGUGACGACGAACAUGGACCCGUGUAACAGAGGUUGCUUCUAAAGGAAAUCACCCCAACAAGCACCCGCCUCCUCACUUAAAACACCAACCACCGCCACACAUCAUCACCCGCACCACACUUCACCACCCACCAUGCAUCACCACCCCCACCACAAUUGAAUAACCUCCACCACCACUGCAUCACCACCGCACAUUACCACCACCAUCAUUGCAUCACUACGCCGCCAAAACAUCCUCACCAAGAAACAAGCAACAACACAAACAUAAAUCUAGAGGAGGACGAAAUUCCACAACAAAACACGGGCAGCGACGCCGGUUUGAAGCGGAAGCACAACCCAGAUCAUGACAAAGCGGCUGCCUGUGACAAGGAGAAUGUGUUCGUCGCCGUAGUAAAAGAGAACCAAUGGUGGAGCAAAAACGGCAGAUCUGAAUAACACUUCCCGGAUCCUGAAACCCUUGACCUCCUCACACCACAUCACCACCACCACCCCAAAGCACUGCAAAUCAGCCCAAAUCCUCCGAUAACAACCCACGCCCAAAUCCACCAUAAACAACCACUACCAUUGGCCAAUGGAGAAGCAAACGUACAAAACCUUCCAUCGCACCACCACCACCCACCACCCACAGACUUUGAUCAACACCAUUAAUGUUUGAAACCCCGUUAAUGUUUGGUAAAAUUUUUUACGAAGAUGUUGACAAAUAUCACUACAAUUCCUAGCAUUCAAACAUGUGUUAUCAAAACAUCACCACUCACGGUUUCCUAACCACCACCUUAACCACCACAGUCCACGGUGAUGUAGCUUACACCAGCCACAACCAAAAUCGUCACCACCACCAACCUACAACGACACCACCACCACGUUCAAAACCACCACCGGCGACGGUGGUGCGGCUUACACAAGCCACCACUGUGGAAACAAACAGAAAGCCCACAACAACCAAUGACAUCACUAUGAAUCAUAGAAGUAGAGAGGGAGAUGACAGUUGUACAGAUCUAGAGCAACACGCCAGUAGAGCUACCACCGUUUAAGCCAACACCCAC
rnacentral:lncRNA from 1 species